UGGAAGAUAUCUAUGGUUAUGGUUGAAGAAUGUUGAAGACAAAAUUGCCUUUUGCUCAUGGAGUGGUUCAUUUAGAUGUUCUUCAAUUUCUUAAACUGUGAUUGCUUUUGUAAAUGUACCUUAUGUACAAGUGAUAUUUUGGACAAAUGUUAUUUUUGUAGGCAUUAGUUGGGUAAUGUACACUUGAAUUUGGCAUUUGAGAAUGCUAUAUUAUUACCAUGUAAUCUAAUGCAAAUACUUUUGGUUAUCAAUCGUUCAUGUUUAUUUGUAUGGUUUGUUUAAAAUCAAUGAUUUAGCAAUGAUUACAGGCCAAAUUAUGACUAUUAAGCUAUUGAGAAAUUAUCUAAUGAUAAAAAAAAGUUGUCACAAAAUAAAAAUAAAAACUCCUUGUCACAACAGAGACUGUCACUAAAUCUAAGCUACAUUUGUGACAACAAUUGUUGUCAGUAAAAUAGUUAUAUACAAUGGCUUUCGGUGCUUUUUAGUGACGACCUUAAGUAGAGCAUUUUUAACAAAAGGUCAAUUCGUCAAUAAAACACUUCCGGAUUGUUGUCACUAAUGACAACUAUUUAGUGACGACAUUUCAGGUCGUCACUAAAUAGUUGUCAUUAGUGACGACAAUCUGGAAGUGUUUUAUUGACGACUUGAUCUUUUGUCAAAAAUGCUCUACUUAAAGUCGUCACUAAUGACAACUAUUUAGUGACGACAUUUUAGGUCGUCACUGUUUACUUUUACCGACGGGGAUUUAGUGACGACUUUGUGACGAUCAAAAAGUCGUCAAUAAAAGGUAUUUGUGACGAUAUUUGUAUGUUCUGUGAUGACUUUGUGUUGUCACUGAUGAACAAUUUUCUUGUAGUGUUUGUCGACAUGGAAGAUCUAUUUACACAAGGCAAAGAUAUAGUUAAAUGGGAUAGCAAAAGAGCGCGUUUACAAAAGAAGUGUGCUUUGAUAACCACAAUAUAAAAGGCACGUGCAAGAGAGCAUUCCAGGAUGACAAAAGUUGAUGACAAAAGUUGAAGAGUCUCAAGGUUCUGUUGUCUAUACAUUAAGAAAAAUUACUUGCAUGUAUUGAAUCGAAAAACUUUUUGCACACAAUGGAAGCCAAAGUUACUAUAGCACUAACGAUUACCCUUUUGCCAAUCCUUGAUGAGCCAUAGUUUUAUAACGUGGAAUAUAAAAAAUAACUCCAUAAUCAAAGAGUCAUCUAUAAAAGAUAUGAGUAACUAGCAAAUUAGCUAUUUUUCCUUAUAGAUUUUACCACUUUGUUAAUUUUCCUACAGCAUAUAGCCAUAGAAAUUGUUGAUCAACUACAAUUUCCAAAAGCUUAGCACCUAAAUAGAAUAAAAUAAAAUUCUAAUUGGUGUACCAAAAAUAUAAAUCCAAAAAUAUAAAUAAUCAAGAGUUCAUAUUCAAUGAAACUAAACUAAAAGGACACUCAUAGUGACAAUUUAUGAACAUAAUUCAGAGAUGGCAAUCAAACAACAAUCACCAAAUUAAAGGUAAUAAAUGAAUUCAUCAUAUGAUAAAACCAAAAUUUAUGUUCUAAAGUUUACUUUCACAUUAAACCAAUUACAGUCCUUACUGUUGCUAUUGAAGGUAUAUAACACAGUGAUUAAUGUCAACAAGUAACAAAGAACCUCUCACUUAUACUUAAAAUUUGAAUCCACAAAUAAAAAAAUAAGCCAAUCAAAAAUUUUUAUAAGGUUUUAAAGUAACAUAGCAGCGCAGCCGUGUAGACAAGUAAAAUGCUGCGAAAGGGAAAAAAUAAAUAAAAUAAAGUAAAAUAAAAUAAAUUAAAAGCAUAAUGACCAUAGUCAUUUUCAUCUAAUGAAGUGAAAAUUGGUAAAUCUUGCUAAUUGUUUGAUACAUAUUUUGGUCAUCAGGGUUUUAUACUACAUAUUCUAAUCCCGAGUCUUCACAACCAAUAUUGUGUCUCAAUUUUGUCUCUAUUCAUAAAACAUCCCAACUUUUUCUUACUCUUUCCAUGUUACAACUCCAUAUACAGCAAAUUUAAAAAAAUAAGUCAAGCCAUACUUCCUUUCUUUGUUAGGGACAAGGCAAGAGAGGCAGGGGUCAAAAUCAAUAAUAUAGACUCACACAAUAUCUUUAAAAAUGAAGAACUAUAUUACAAUUCAUAAAGAAAUUCUGUCCAAAAGAAAGCAUGAAUACUCUUUUGAGCAUAUAUUGUAGUACCACAAAGAAUCUAAAAAUUACUAAAAGUUUUCCAACUUAAAAUUUACUUAUGGAUCAAAUUUGACAUUAUGUUGCAAGUAGAGAAGUACCCUACAAAACUUCAUCCUUAUACAUCUACAACAAAUAUCAAGAUACAUAGGGAAGUAAUCAAAAAAAAGGAAAAAGAAAAAAGUUUCAUGGUAAGAGCCGUGAUACAGAAACUAGUCGAAGCGUAGCAAAAAUAUAGAAAAAAUAAAACAUAUGCAAUAUGCAAAACUUCUUAAUCAUCUUAAGAUCGAAAAGAUCUAAGGUAUAAAGAAACAGAUAUGGAGCACAAACAAGAAGAUGAAAAGAUACUCCUAAAUGGUGAGAAAUAAAGAGAGAGACAAAUGGUUAGAUGGAGAGAGAAGAAGAGACAAAUGCUUCCCUCGAGCCUUGAUUAAUGGGAUGAUGCAGACUUUUGGUUUCUUAAAAUUCUAUUCCAAAUUAUGAUUUGAAUGAGAUCCAAAAAAAGUAAUGUGCUACUCACAUAAGAAAAGGAGGAUGACCAAACUUGAGCCCCUUCCUAUGCCACGUCAGUAGACGACCAAAUUUUCAAUAGGUCUCUAGCCACUUUUAUUCAUAUGUUAAUAAGUGUGGAAUAGCCUUUUGAGUUUAUUGCUUACGUUAAAUCUAGCAAACAAGAUAAGAUAUAAAUAUAUAUAUACACACACACACACACAUACAUAUACAUACAUACAUAAAAUGUUUCCAUCCUUUAUUGAGAUCUAGUCACAUAGUUGCUUAAAAGGUCUCCAAUAUGAUAUACUAUUAUUAUUUUAUACAAGAUCUCUUUAAUUCAUAUUUAAGGUAAAUUUAAAUCUUUGCAUGGGUUUAUUGUAGUAAAUCCUGUGGUGUGAGUUACAAUAUACCUUUUAAUUUAAUUUUUGUGCCACUUAAGUUAUUCUAUUAGUGUCCCUAAGAUCCAACUUACAUUAAACUUAAUUGUAAGGUUUCUUAUUAACUUUCAAGCCCUCACCCUUAGUCUUUUCCCUUGCAAGUCUUGAAGUCACUCAUGAACUAAAAAAAAAAAAAAAUCUUCUAUUAGUUCACAUCCACAUUUGAUUGUGAAAUGAUGUUUGAAUGUUGAAUAUUCCCCUGCUAACUUUUGGCAUUAGAUAAAAUUUACCGUCAUAAACUAUCAUUGAUUUUGUUUUUCUUUUUUUGCUCUUCUUUUUCUUUUUUAUUUUUUUAGUUCUCUUCCUUUAUCUUUUUUUUAAUCUCAUUGUCCAAUUCCCUCUUGCCACUUCCAAACUAUCAUAUUAUAACCAAUAAUUUUUCAAUCAAAUGCUCUAAUUUUAUACAUGUACUUAAAUAUUCUAAUUUUUAGACACGUGCUUGGUGACAUAAACCAUGAAUUAACAGUAAAGUACAACAAAACUAAUACAACAUUUUGUGAUUAAUUAUUAUUAAUAAAAAUUAACAAAUACAAAUACACAACAAACUAAAAAGAAUGAGUCAUAAAAACUUUAAACUACUUGGACAAAUUUAUAGCAAUUAAUGCUUGUGAUUAAUUAAUUAUUAAUAGUAAUAAGUUCAUUAGCUUGUUAAGACAAAAAGAGGACAACAAGAGAAUGGAAAGGAAAAAUAGAAAGAAAGAGAGGGAAAAGAAAUGAAAUGAAGAAGAAAAGGAAAAAAAUAAAUAAAUAAAUAGAAGAAGUAAAAAUGUAAAGGCCAUUUUGUUGGAAAAAAUUUAAACUACUUACAAAGUUCUUUUGAGAGGGGCUAUAAAGUGGCACUAGAAUGAUAAUUUAUGGGAUUAAAUUGCAAAUAACACCAACCUCUUCCACUGACAUUUUUGAGAAAAAGAUCUGAAUCUCCUUACUAAGAGUACUUUUGCCUUCUAAUUGCUAAAUGAAAUAUUUUCUUUCACUAAGCAGUUAGCAAAUAACAUGUAUAUACAAGCUAUGAUAUUAGCAAAAAACAUGCAUACAUAAAUAUACUUUGAUAUUAGCAAAUAACAUCUUACAUAUAUAAGAGCAUCCAAGACCUUGAUGAACAUUGAAUCUUUUGUCCACUUUUCUGCAAUUUUGUGAUCUUUGGAGGGUGUUUUCAGUAUUUUGCUUGGUUAAAUAGGGGGUUUUUGGUUAGAUUGGUUUAUGAUUAGGAAAGUUUGUGAAGAUAGUAUGAAAAAUUUGUCUCACUUUGAACGGUGCUUUGCUACCUAUUUGAUGUGGAGCUUAGUGAAAGUUGCCUAACUUUUAUCAAAAAUAGAGAACCACGUUGACAUUAAGUUGAUGUAUAUGUUCAUGAGAUGGCUUUAUGUUGUAUUGCUCCACCACAAUCACUAAAGUUUUGAUGUUCUCUUACAAAGUUUCUUGACUUCUCUUCUUCCUCAUCUUGUUUCACCAUUUUCAACAUCCUCUCGCAUUGCAAGUUCCCUAAGAAGUAGCUUAUUAAAAUCAUUUAGGUUCAAGUGGAAGCUAGAGAGGAGAGAAAGCAGAGUGGUGGUUAAGUGUAAAGGUUAGGUGCUAUGGUUGAAAAGGGUUGUUUGGACAACUUUGUAUUCUACUUCUGAUGGGUUUGUAUUUGAGUGUGGCCUGGUUUGUGAAGUUUGGAGAUUGUAUAUGGUUAUCGAAAGUUGAUAACUUUAAAAAAUUGCAUAAAAGCUGCCUACUGGACUUAAUUGUUUAGAGUCUUUAUAACCACAAGGAUGUUUUUCUUCAAGAAUUUGUGAGGUGAUGUUAUCUAAAUUUUUCCAUUUCUAUUAUCAUAGCAUUUGGAGCUCUAUCAUAUGUAGGUUCUUAAAAAAUCAAUAUUUGGUUAUUUGUGAUAUGCUUUGCUAUUCAAUGUCUCAUGCUUGGAGAUAAAGUGAAUGCAAAGUUAGUAUUUUUGCUUUAAUUUUCUUAUUUAUGCAUCACUACUGGCAAUUUGCUUUUGAAGUCGUAUCAUUGUUCUUCAAAUUUUUUUUAGUUGAGUUGAUUUGAAUUUUUCUUUCUCACAGCAAUGCAAGUGAUGCCCUUGACAAGUUGAGGUUUUUAAGUAUGAUUGAGUUUGGUCUUCUUAGGGAUGCUAGUGACCUAGAAAUUCACAACAAACCUGAUCCUAACAAUGGGGCCAUCACUAUAAGUUAAUGAUGGUUAGAAAUUAUUUAUUUUAUUAAUUUGUAUUCAAGUCAAUUGAAAUGUUCACCAAAGUUUUCUCCUAUUUAGGGGAAAGUGGAAUUGGGAUGACCAAAAAUGAGCUUACAGACUAUCUUGAAACUAUUGUCUAGAAUUGUACUUCCAAGUUAUUGAAAGCUCUUAAGGUACUUGGAAGUAUUUGUUCAAAUUAGAUGUUUUGGCAUUCCAAUGUAAUAAUGUGUGUAAAUUAUCUUGUUCAAUCUAAAAUUUGUACUCUCUCUUAUUAUCAAGAAAAUGAGGAUGUUGGAGUGGACAACAAUUGAAUUGGUCAAUUGAAAUUGGUUUCUAUGUUGCAUUUUUGGUAGCUGAAAAGAUAUAGUAUCUUUUGUCUCAUUUAGUUCUAGUCAAUUCCAAGUUUAUAGAUUGGCUUCUUUAAUUUGUUUCUUGUCCUCACAUAACUUUUAUGUGUUUAUAAUUUGUGUCAUCAGGUGGUAGUUGUCGGAAUUUUAGUCUGGACUACAUGACUACAAGUAAUGUUCUAAUAUUUAUCAAUUCUCUCACUAAUGUUCUAAUAUUUAUCAAUUGUCUCACUAGCUUAUAUGGGAUAAAUAAAUACGUAAAUAGAUUUAUAUUGAUAGUUAUAGAGUUUUGAGGAUAAACAAUUAGAGAAAGUAGGGAGUCCUAUAUUCAUUGUAUGUAGAUGUAUUAUCUAAUAAUUAUUGUGAUACUUUAUUGAUAAUUAUAGUGAUUAUUAAGUUGUAUCUUAUCACAAAUAAAGUAUGAUCUAUCUAAAGACUACUAGAGUCUAUCAUUAUCCUAUGAUAGGAGGGAUUAUAGACUAUAAUAUCCCAAGGUCUCCUGAUCCCUCUUAACACUUUGAUAUACAUUGUUUUACCUAUCACAAAAUAAUAUAACAAAAGAAUUAGGUGAGAGAAGACUAGAUAAGUUUAGGUUUAUAGAUUACAACCUUGGUGAUUGAAAGUUUGGUGAUUAAAGGUUGUGUAGUUCUUCCCGAAGAAUGUCUUCGAUGUCUUAGGGUAUGUCAGUCUGACAUUUGCUACUAAAUUUGAUUUACAAACCAUACCAAUGAUUCUACUCUUAAGUCUAACAAUUGGUAUUAGAGCAAGGAUUAAUGUUUAUGAUUUGUAAAUUGGUUUAUAUGAACAUCAACUAUUGGUAUUAUUGAUGCUAUUUUAUAGAACCAAUCUUACACAAUGUGGAUGUCAUUGAUACAUGAAUUUUGUUUUACCAUAUAUACUUCAAAUUAUUUAAUUAGUGUCAUUGUGCCAUAAUCUUGUUAGUUAAGAGAACAAUCACAAGUUUGUUAAUGGCUUUUAACCUAUUGAAGAUGAAAUUGAGAUGGUUAAAAAUUUACUAAAGGUUAAUAGUAUCCUGGCAUUUUGGAGGUUUAAUGUGUUUUGGUAUCCAAAAUGUGUGUAUGUUAGUAAGAAUCUUCUUAUUAACAUUCGGUGGUAUAUGUACUUUUAACUUCUGUUGUGUACAUGUUUUGAAUUCAUUAAUUUGUUAUAUCAUAUUCUAGUUCAAGACCAUUAUAUAAGUUUGACUAGUUAUAUAUUAAAAUUUACACACACAGCUAUUAACAUGCAAGGUUCAAAUUUAUGUUAUUGCUUUUGAACUAUGGGUAAAUUCACAACUUAAGAUUGUGAAUUGUUAAACAUAUGUAUUUUAAUCACUAUAAAUCUUUUAUAUGUUUUAUUAUAUUAAAGAUAAUGAUUAUGAUGGAACUAUGUUCUAUAAAUGUAUUCAAGGUUUUAGGCAUUGCAUGAACACUUGUGUUAUUAGUUUAUUACACUCAUCCCUAUUAUGGCCUUUAAUGGUAUUUGCGUUAUUAUUAAUUUGGGACUUGUGUAAUUUAUUGACAACUGAUUUGUCUAGACUAAACUUAUAUUGUGAAUUUAAACACCAGAUUUAAUAAUCAAACUCAUGAUAAAAUCCUAGUGUAUUGAAAAAUGAUUAUAAGUCUUAUUUAUGUUCCAUCAUUAAAAGGGAUUAUGUUUAUGCAAUAUUUUAGAAACAUAUAAUGGAAUUAAGUAAUAUUCCUAAAUAACUUAAUGGUAUGGAUAUGACUAUAUUUGAGUCAUUUCUGGUGCAAUUUAUCAUCAACUCUUUUCAUCCACAAUUUGUUCCUUUCAAAAUUAAUUAUAAUACUCAAAAAGUUAAGUGAAAUGUUUCUCAACUUAUCUCUAUGUGUCACAAAGAGGAAGAGACAUUGAAAAGGGAAGGAUUGCAGACUCAAACUGUGCAUAUAAUAUCACAACGUCAUAAUGCAAAUAGACCUAAAAAAAGUAAAAGGAAAAAUCAUACAUCCAAUCAUAAAGAUUUUGGUGGGCAAUGCCAUUUGUACAAGAAGAAGGGACAUAUGUAGAAAGAUUGUGUGAAAUGCAAGACACGGUUUCAAAAGAAAGUAAUUUUUUUUCAUUUGUUUCUUCUGAAACCAAUUUGGUUGAUUUCUUUCUAAUAUUUAAUAGUUUGACUAUGAUGCAACUAUUCGCAUUUCUAAUAAUAUGCGGAGAUACCUUACAACCUACCAAGGGAAAAGAAUACUAGUAGAGAACAAGAUGGGAAUAAAAGUUAAAACCAUUGGAAUCUGUUGACUUGUUCUACAUUCUGGCAUUUUAUUAGAUCUUUCAAAUACUUGUUAUAUUCCUAAUUUUUUAGAUAUUUGAUUUCCUUGUCUCCUCUUGAUUUAGAUGGUUAUAAAUUUUAGCUUGGGGACCAUUUUUUUAUGUCUAAAAAUAAUAGUGAGUGUGUUUGGAUAGUAGAUUAUUUGGAAUAAUUAUUUGUUGACUUUUUGAAAUGUAGGGGUGAAAGAUAAUCGUUUGGACAGCAUGAAUAUAUUUCAAAUAGGUGUUUGGAUAACCUAACAAUUAUUUAGUGCAAUAGGAAACUCAUUCCAUCCCAUCACACGGACAUUUACUGUUGCAAAUAAAAUAAACAUUCAAUCAUGGUAAAAGCCAGUCAUAGCAAUACAAACCACGCUGCUUUACGGAUAUUACAUGGAACAUCCUAAGCUUAUCUAGGAUUAUCCAUUGUCUAAUGGACACACCAUAGUGGGAUAGUUGUUUAUUCAUACACAAUCUAAAUUUGCUUGGCAACCAUUUUAUUUUUUCAAACACAAAUAUAACUUAAUGCCCCUGAUGAAACGCAGUUUACUAGUAGGUAGGUCCGAGUUACACUCCUCACUGUCUAGCGCCUUCUCCUACAUUGCAUGCCAUACAUUUCAAUUGCAAUCGCAUCCUGCCUAGCCUUCCAAACCAUAAUCUUAGCUCGGGAUGCAUUCAAUGGCUAAAUGUUUGCCCUCUCAACGCCCCUAUUGGUGUUCUAAUCCAACAUUACCCUCCUCGUAUAGUUGAAAGUGGGCAUCGCCUGGUUGAUGUAAGCGAAGAAAGUUGUCCAAUGCACAGCAAGCUAUAACGACACUAAGUUGAGUCGUCAUGUAAAAAUUUGGAACCGGUCCCUUUAAAAAUUUAAAUUUGUUCUUCAACACUCCAAAGGUUCGUUCAAUGACAUUUCUAAGCUCCGAGUGGCGCAUAUUAAAUAAAGCUUUUUCUGGACCACCCGUGCUGCAUUCUUAUAUGGCGGUAAGAAUCCUGGAACAUUCUUAUAUACAGCAUCUACAAGGUAGUAUUUACCUUAAAUGUAGACAGUUAGGUGUCAGUUUCCAAUGACUGUAGAAUUUUUAAGCAAAAGUUAUAGUACUUUAAAUGUUUAAAUAUUUUACUAUAAUACUAGUACUUCAAAAAAAUAGUAUUUAAAUAAGUACUUCAAAAAACUUGUGGCUUUAAAGCAUUUUGAAUUCUAAAACAGAAACCCAUCUCGAAGCAAAAGUUAUAGUACUUUAAAUGUACUAUUGUUUGACUGUAGUACUUUAAAUGUUUAAAAUACUUCAAAAAAAUAGUACUUAAAUUAGUACUAUCAAACUAUAUACUUUAACGUACUUUCAAGUACUUUAACAGCAAUUUUUCUAAGCGUACUUUACAAAACAUUUUACAUUGAGGAGGCAUUGGGAAGUUUGAUGGGUGUGACAGAGCACAUCCAACACUCGGGCAUCAUGUGCACCUCCCUCUCACCCAGCAUAUAUGUACGUGAAUCACAUGUCGAAAUCACAAACUACCAGAAGAUUUUGCGACCUGAGGCCGAGCACGCAGGAAUGUGAGUGCCAUCGAUGGCUCCCACUGCAUCCUGCAUUUUCCAACUAUUAAAAUUACAUUUGCUCUCUUAUAAUGGCUUGUGUUCGGAUAAAAGAACUUGCAAAUAUUUGCUUAUUAUUUUGGCAGACAUGGCUUAACCUUGAACCACAAGAAGUAUUUUGUCGAAUUUCCGAUUCUUGAAUGUACCUAAUCGUAGUCAAACAGGUGAAUUAUUUGAGAAGCAAACAUACAAAGACCGCGCAGAACUUUCCUUGCAUUUCGGUUAAUUGUCUCUAUUGAUCCAUUGAAACGCUCUGCCAAAACUCACUGGUGGGCACUAUGACUUACCAAAAACCAAAGUCAUGGCCAGUGCUUCUUCGAUUUCGACUCGUUUUUUUAUAGUUUUGAGGUACAUAAUUAUUGUACUUCAGUAUGUAACAAAGUAGGAGGAAAUUGUCAACCAAAAUAUGACAAUUCUCGAUUAUUCGUUUGUAGUGACUAUUGAUCAAGUCUUCAACCCAUUGGCGCCCUGACAAUGAGCCAUCAUGGUGUGGAAUUUUGAGUUUCGGUCCUCUGUACCUUUCUACGUCUAGAUGUAAAAGUAUCAACUCUGCUGCAAGUGCAACUAGCAAGUCGUCCUCCUCAUCGUCAGAUGUUAGGUCAUUGCUUAAGCUAUAAGUGCCACUACUGUAUUCAUCACAAUCCAUAUCCUCUACAAUAAGUGCACAACAAGAGAGUUUUUCGUACAAUUUUUCAAGAAAGAAAAUAAAAUGUCAACCAAACCUUGAACUCACCUACUUGGCUUUCUCCUUCGAUGAAUCGGAGCCUUGUCCAAGAGGCAGUCCUCCUUAACUCUUUCCCCUAAAGCACAAUAAUUCUGUGCUUUGAAACAUAUGCAAGGACACUAUAAUAUAGAGCUCUAAGGAGCAGAUAUUUUUUUGGGGCACGGGCGCACUGUUUCCUUCUACUCGGGUCCUUGUUGACAGGGGCCACCACCUUAGAAAUGCAAGUCCCAACUUGUUUUCGCAAUGUCAUCCUUCAAACAUUGGAUUCCAUUAGUUGUUCCCUAUGCCACAACUGAGCACUGUCAAACUUGAGCACUGUGCCUGGCUGCAACUGAUAAAAUGACUCGUAUUUUCAAAAAAGUUGAUGAGUCCUUAUAUGUUAGAUGCACUCUUGAGGCUAACAUCACACAAUAGAGACAUGACUAUAUUUCCACAAUGCACUACCGGUUUGAUGCCAUUUAAACAAUUCCAAUUAAUGUAUUAUGAACAAUUGCACCCGAUGUAAUGCUAUUCUAACAAAAAAGUAUUCGAACGUUUUUGCUAAUUCAGUUGUGGGAUAACUUUGUGGCCUUGCCAAUUUAAAAACAAGCAAUCAUGGCCAUGGGUUGUUGCGACCAAUUUCACAAUUGCACCUGCACCAUUAGUUAUUUCAAACGUAGAACGAAAAACCUUCCUCUAAAUAAAGUCACACACCAAUGCCACCCAUUUGUAAAACUAGAUAAUUCCCACAAAUAAGUUUCUACGAAGAAGUAAAGAACUAGUAUCGAACACUCAACCAACCGCCCCGAUUCGAGUAGACCAAAUGCUACAAUUAAGAAUUAAGUCAAGAAGCAACCAAGAGGUAGUUCAAGUAAAGUUCAGCAUAGGAAUUGAAUUUUGAAAAUUACAAAGCAAAUUGACACAAGUCCAAUUUCGGCAGGUAUGGACAAACACUCUUCGGCCUUUUCCUCCAACUCCUUAUCCACAUAUACGCACACUCUGGGUAUGCCACUACCAAACUCUUCCAUAAUGAGUUCAAUAUAAUCAUAGCGCUUGGUUUCAUCAAAGCGUACGAAUGCAAUUCUUUGUCUCCCAUUUUUUUUCGAGCAAAGUACAUGGAAGCUUUCAACUUAACCGAUUUUGGAAGUUGCAUGUGCUUCAUGAUGUCCUACACUACCGGUACACUGUACUUUGCUUCCUCUUCGUACCUAUUGUGCUUUGUCUCCAUGGAAGCGGUGGUGAUGCGAAAGAUUUUGCUGAUUACAUCAUUUAAUCUUUCCCUAUCACUAGACAAUCUUGUUGAUUUAGCAUCUCUAGAUCCCUCACGAUCACUAGUAGUGCCAAGACUUGAGGCGGGAGGCUUUCCAGGGGCCAUUCUUGGUACCGGAGGUACGUAGUAUACAUACUCUCCUUCCCAAGGGUAAUGGUGGUAGCCAGGGGCCGCUGAAAUUGAGAUUGGAGCCUUUCCUUUGCUCUUUUGUAGCAUUCCAAUAAGUGGCCGCCGUUGUUCAUCCUCGGGGACCAGUUGACUUGCGGACUGGGCAUAGUUGCCUAUUGUAGUUUUUUUCAAAGUUGUUUGAGUAUAAAUAUCAUUUAGGAAGCAGCUUCCGGGAGUUUUGAAGUUUUUGUAGUCUUUGUUUACCUUAAAAUUGAAGACCUAUAAGUUAGUUAAUGGCCAACCAAUAAAUGUCAAACACUUAGGAGGAAUGUACAUCGAUGUAAUAUCGAAUAAUGGGCUAGAAACUGGUCAUUUUGCAGCUUCAGACAUUACAAAAAUGGCUGGAAUAAAAAUAAGUAUUGGAAAGCAUACACGUUUAUUUGAACAACUUUAGUAAAAGCAAUUGAGGAUGUAUUUCAUGUUGAGCAAGUACGAUAUACAAAUGAAGGCUGAGCAGGGAGAAAGGAAUGCAAACAUAUGCUCGCAUACCGCUUCCAUUUGGGCCCAGUGCUCAUCGCUGGCCAUGAAACAGUUACUUUCUUCAUCUCAACCAAUCCCAGUCUCGGGUUUAGAAGGCAAACCACGACGAUUGGAAAACACAUUCCAUUUCUUCUUGAACCUCUACAAUCUUGACUGGCACUGGCCUCUGGUGACUUGUAUUUCAAAAUGUUCCCUCAAAUAUACGGCCAGCAUAUUGUAAUUCUAGUCAUUUGUCUUGUGAUUGUCCCAUUUUUUGUUUGCUUCCAAUCAACAUAUGUGGUGAUGAAGUUGAAAUCCAUGGUAGAAGUCCGUUGCAAUUUCUCAUUCAUUUGCCGCAUAUAAGAGCAGAAAUUUGGCCAUUGUUAUGCACAUCGGCAUGUAAAUGUCACUAGUUUGAACCCAAAAAAAAAAACAGAAUAUCAUAAAAGUUCUCAGUGCUUUACAUGCUGAUUGUAGUUGUCUAUAUACAGUUAGUAGUUAUUUGAACCACUGGAUGAGUUGGAAGAGCAAUAGGAUGUGCAGCUAGUAGGAGAGGCUUCAAAUCGCAAAAUUUGUUUAGUAAUACACCAUGAAUGAAUAUAUGACACUGAUAAAGGUUAGAGGGAUUUACAAAGGGAGUCAAUUUUGCACUUAGCUAUGUUCAUGGGUUGAAUGACUAAUGCAUUGCAAGCCAAACAAGUGUAGAUUCAACAAAUACAACGGAGUUUAAAAUACCUAUAAGGAAAACAGGUGCAACAGUGCUACCACAAAUAACUUGAGAAGUACUAAUUACUGGACUCUAGAACCAGUUAAGAUAACAAUUUUUGUAAUAUCAACAUUGCAUAUCCGUCUUUUGAACAAAGUCACACACCAAUAGCUGUUCAAGCUUAAGAAUGUAUAGAACAAAGGAAGAUUAUUUUUAAAUCCAUGGACAACUUUUUUGUUAUGAGUGUAAGCACAAAUGGAUGAAUAAAGUGUUACACAUAUUGGAACAGUCAUAUAAUUAAGUAAACAAAUGCGUGACUUAGUGCUUUUUCAAUUUCAGUUAAGUUAGGAAUUUUAACUUAAAUGUACAGGGACAAAUAUAUAAAUCUGAAAUAUUUUUUUUAAAAAAUUGUAUGAUAGUGCUAUUACCAAACCAAUAGAUAAUUGUUGCAUCUAUAUUUUCAGCCCUAUAAAUGUAAUUUAUGAGUUUGUCGUCUCUUAAUUUGUGCUUAAAAUUAUAGCAUACUAAGCGCAAAUAAGAGUGAAAUUACAAACAGUCAUGGUCAUCCCAAUCACAUCCAUUUACAGUUUAAAUAAUUACCACUACAGAGUAGCCUUCAAUUUAUAAAAAAUUUAGACAAGCAAACAAACCCUGGUUCUGGAGAUAAAAAACAGAGCAGCAAUAUACAACUUAUAAUCAUGUCUUAAUAACUGUGCAAAAAUGGAAUAUAGUGUGCAAUUCAUACAAUUGACCAACUCAAUACAACCAUACCGCAACAAAAGAUAGAGGUAUUAGUGGAUUGCUAUAGGUUUGCCAAGAAUACAUCAUCAAAAUAAUAACACAUAACAACUCUUUCAUGGACCAUUGGGUUGGCAUUAGUUGGAUAAAAAGUUAAAUUCCAGUGAAGCUAAAAAAAUUCCUCUUGGCAGGUGUAGAAGGGGAAGACAUGUUGACAACGGAAAAAUUAAAAUUGAAAGAACAAGGAAAUACCUUGGAUGUCACCAAAAUUUGUCACUGAUAAACUCUUAUUUACCUCUGUAGAUUAGCCUGGAGUCACGGAUGAAGGCAGCACGAUUUCUAACUCAUCAAUAGUUUGCCGUGAAUCCUACAAAUAAGUUGUUCGUUCGACACCAUGCCCUUGCCUAGGCCCCAAUGGGAUGAGAUGUAGAUCUGGUUUGUGAUUAUUUGGUGGAGAGAGACGAGGAAAUUUGAAGAGUAAAAGCGAAGGUCGGGUGGUUGGCUAACAUGAGUAAAGCCUUGUGCAGCUUUGUCGACUUAAACAAAGGGCAGACAGAAAAGGACAAAAUUAACAGCUAGUAAUUUUGAGCCGUUCAUCUAAUAUGUACGUGGAAUGAAACUACACCAUGCUACUUGCGUGGAAAGAGUAGAGAUAAAAUUAGCCCAAAAUACAUUUGCUGUUCUAUUUAACCUAUCCAAACAGGUAUAGGUGCAUUAUCACUAAUAAAUUCAAAUUUUAGCCGGCCAAACGUACUCAGUUUUAUUUUUGGUGGAUUUUUAGUUGAUGGAUUGUAUAAAAUAAAUCUCGAUCCUACUUUUUCACAAUCCCUUUCCCUGCUUAUGAAUAUUAAUGUUUGUACCAAAAGCAGUCAGAAUAAUAAAAUUUCAUCAUUGCUGUGGCAUAAACGUUUAAGUCAUAUAUCUAAAGAUCGGCUUGAGCGGCUUGUAAAAGAUGAAAUUUUACCAACUGUUGAUUUUAUAAAUUUAGGUACUUAUAUAGAUUGCAUUAAGGGCAAGCAAACUAAAAGUACCAUGAAAAAAGCCACUACAAGUUUAGGGUUGUUUGAAGAGAUACAUACAGAUAUUUAUGGGUCCUUUCUUCAUUGUAUAAGUGGUGAAAAAAACUUUACCACCCUUAUUGAUAAUUUUUGACGUUCUGACUAUCUUUAUCUAAUUAAGGAAAAUUUUGAUGCAUUGUAUAUGUUUCAAAAUUUUAAGGUAGAGGCUGAAAAUCAAUUAGAUACGGAAAUAAAAGUUAUAAGAUUUGAUAGGGAUGGUGAGUAUUAUCGUAAAUAUGAUGAAACUGAUUAUAGUUUAGGACCAUUUGUUAGAUUUCUUCAUAAUAAUAAAAUUAUUGCUCAAUAUACUAUACCUUGGAUGCCACAGUAGAAUGGUGUAGCUUAAAGGCAUAAUCGAAUCUUACUAGGUAUGGCUCAAAACAUGGUUAGUGACACAACUCUUUCUAAACUUUUGUACAACGAAACCCUUAGGACUACCAUGUAUAUUUUGAAAUCCCUUAUGAACUAUGGCUUGGUAGGAAACUGAUUUUAAAUCAUGUAUAUGUUGGGGUUGUUCAACUAAAGCAAAAAGAUAUAUAAUCCAUAUGAAAGAAAAUUGGAUCCAAAGACCAUUAGUUGUUAUUUUAUUGGUGAUCUAGAAAGGUCUAAAGGUUAUCAAUUCUAUUGUCCUAAUCAUUAUAAUAGAAUAAUGAAAUUGAAUAAUGAUAGAUUUCUUGAAAAUGAGAAUUUUAGUAAGAGUGUGAUAAAAAGGAUUUGGAGUCAAUUCUAGAAUCAAAGGAAAUUUUUAAAACAUCACAUCCUGACGACAAUAACGAUGCCAUUAUUUUCACAUAUACAUGAUCUAAUGAUCACCAGAUUCUAUAGAAUUCAAAUAUAACAAAAACCAAUGCAGUUUCAUAUGACUAUUUUAGUGUAUCUACAAGUUGGCAUAGAUUAAUAUCUAUUGACCUUUUUACAAGCCAUAUGUAGUAGUGCAUCAAAUGAAUAUAAGGAUGUUAUGGAAAAUGAAAUGGCACCUAUGCAGGCUAAUUAAGAUUGAAAACUGGAUGAAUUGCCUAAGGGUGUCAUACCUAUUCAAUGUAAAUAGAUAUUUAAAACCAAACAAGACUCAAAAGAUAAUAUUAACCAUUACAAAGACUGAUCAAUAGCCAAAGGGUUCACUCAAAGAGAAGGUAUAGACUAUAAUGAAACAUUCUUUCCAAUAUCCCAAAAAGGAUUUGUUACUUCACUAUAAUUUAGAGCUACAUCAAAUGGACAUAAAAAUGACAUUCUUGAAUGAAAAUCUAAAUGAAAUUGGAAGGGUUUGAGGAGGAAGGUAAAGAAUAGUUAGUAUGUAAGUUCAAAAGAUCCAUAUAUAGACUUAAAUAGGUAUCCUGCCAAUGGUAUCUUAAGUUUCAUGAUACCAUUACAUUCUUUGAAUUUCAAGAAAAUAAACUUGAUAGUUGUGUAUAUCUAAAAGUUAGUAGGAGCAAAUUCAUAUUUUUGAUCUUGUAUAUUGAUGAUGUACUGCUUGAUACUAAUGCAUUAAGUUUAUUAUGUGAAACUAAAAGGUUUCUUUUUGAGAACUUUGAAAUGAAAGAUAUUAGGAUGCAUCUUUUGUAUUUGGCAGUGAUAGCAGCAUAGAUAGAUCUCAGAAAAUUCUUGGCUUAUCUCAAAAAUCUUAUAUAACAAAAGUUCUUGAAAGGUUCCAAAUACAAACCUAUUGAACAACCCCAUACCCCAAUAUUAAGGGUGAUAAUUUGAGUCAAAUUUAGUGUUCUCAAAAUGAUAUUGAGAGAAGUGAAAUGGAAGCAGUACCAUAUGUCUUGGCUGUAGGAAGCUUAUUGUAUGCUCAAAUUUGUAUGUACCUUGCUAUAAGUUUGUAGUUGGAAUGCUUGAAAAAUUUUAAAAUAAUCUAGGAUCUGAUCAUUGGCUUGUAGCUAAAAAAGUGUUGCAACAUCUUUAAGGUAUCAAAGAUUUAAUACUUACCUAUAAGCACAGUGAUCAGUUUGAAAUUGUUGGGUACUAGGAUUCGAAUUUUAUAGGAUAUGUUAAUAGUAUGAAAUCUACUUCUGGAUAAGUUUUGAUACUUUUCGGUAGAGUUGUAUGAUGGAAAAGUGUGAAAUAAAUUAUAAUUUCUUCUUUCACAAUAGAAGCAAACUUUAUAACUUGUCAUGAGGCUACAUCUCAAGCCAUUUGAUUGUGAAAUUUUAUUUAAGAAUUUUAGACUGUGAAUUUUAUAUCCUGGCCUACUAUGACAUAUUAUGAUAAAUCUACAGCUAUAUUUUUCUCAAAAAAUAACAAGUGCUCUAGUAAAUUUAAAGACAUUGAAUUGAAAUUUCAUGUUGUUCAAGAAAAAAUUCAAUAAUUAAUCAACAUCCUCAUGUUGUAUCAUGUAUUUUUCUGUAUUUUAUGUGGUCCUGUAUUGGGCACAUUUUAAAUUUUCAAAAAUUAGGCAGAAUAGAAUAUAUAUAUAUACACCAUUAAUGAACAUUCUUGUUGUAGUUCUUCAUUUCUUCUUCAAUUAAUUAAUCAACAUCUACCUAUUAAAAUUGUGAUAUAUGGAAGGGGACAUGUUUGUCAAUUGACAUAUCAUUGCCAUAAUCUAUUUUGAUAAUAGUGUUGGAUAAAUAUAUUUUUUGUUGUGACCACUUAUUUUGUUUACUGAUUUUGUACUAUCAUAAUUUACGUGGUCAUUUAUCCAAAGGGGAGAAUGUUGGAAUAUUAUCGUGUCCUACAUGACCACAGAUAGUGUUCCAAAAUUUAUUAAUUAUCUCAUUAAUUUAUAUGAGAUAAAUAAUUACAUAAAUAGAUUUAUAUUGGUAGUUACAGAAGCCUGAGAGUAGACAAUUAGAGAAAAUAGGAAGUCCCAUAUUCGUUUUAUGUGGGCGUAUUAUUUGAUAAUUAUUAUUGUACUUUAUCUAAUAAUUAUAGUAAUUAUUAAUCUAUAUCAUAUCAUUAUGUUUAACAAACAAAGGAUGAUAUAUUUGAAAAAUAUUAGAGUCUAUAAUUAUUCCAAAAUGGGAGGGAUUACAAGCUCUAUAAAUAUCCUAUAGGUUCUUAGUCCUUCUCACCACUCUGAUAUACGUUGUUUUAUCCAUCACAAAAUAACAUAAUAGGAGAGUUAGGUAAGAAAAGACUAGAUAGUUUCAAGUUUAUAGAUUAACUUUGGUGGUUAGUGGCUUGGUGAUUAAAGGCUAUGCAGUUCUUCCUAAAGAAUAUAUUCGAUGUCUCAAGGUAUGUCAAUCUAACAUUUGCUCCUAAAUUUGAUUUAUAAAUAAUGCCAGCGAUCCUACUCUUAAGUCUAACAGUAGUCUCCACAAAAAGCCCUAGGUGAUAGUAUCAUGAUACAUGGGCAGGCCAACAAUGGCUCGAGUAAUCGAGGAGUUGAGGAUCACGUGCACGCCCUAAGUGGACCCAUUACUAGGGCUCGCGCAAAGAAACUUCGUGAGCAACUCAAUGUACUUAUUCAGGCCAUACACAAGUCUUUUGAAGGACUCAUACACUCAAGUGAAGGUGGUCGCGGUCCGAUAAUGAGCAUUGAAACUACACCUGAGGAUUAGGGUUUUUGCCAAACCCUAAUUUUCGUUUUAGCAUCAUAGUUAGUUAUUUCCACAUUAGUUGAUUAGAUUGAAUAAUUGGCUAAGUGCAUAUUGUACGUAGAAUCGCCAAGGGUAGGAUUGCUAAUUUACUCAUUAUUAUUUGCUAGAGUGGGCUGCCUAGGAAGGAAAGCCCACGUGAGGCCCAACCCGUCGGGGGCCCAUAUCCACUGCACCCUUAGUCCAUUUUCUUACUAGAUUAGGUUUUUGACUUGUAGCCUAUAUAAGGCACCAUAUUACAUCAUUAAAGAGUAGACACUUUUAUCAUACAAAAUCUAGUGUGAGAAUUUUCUCCAUAGCUUUCGAGCAACCCUUGAACAACUUAGAGUUUUACUCGAGUGUUCUUGUUUGGCUUAUCAAUUCAAGAACCACACUUGAAUUGUGGCGCCUUCUACACUUGCCUGAGGUUCGCUAAUUCGUUUGAUUACGGGUUGAGAUAAUAUCAACAAGUUCGUAGCCAUGGGGAUUAGAGGGGUUGUAGGGUUUCCACUACUACCGUUGCUUGCGUUCGAAGUCAAAUCCAACAAGUGAUCUUGGGUCGCGAAUCUUCUCACCAACGAGAUUGAUAUCAGCUGACAUCAGAGCUAGCUUGUUGGUAACAUCGUUUAUCCCUCUUUUGUGUCUUAAUUCGUGCCUUAAUUCGUAUCUGUCUCGGUAGCGCAAAAAAAAAAAAAAAUUUUUUGUGCACGUUACAUUCUGGCCGCGAGUUCCUGGCAUCGAGUUUCCUUUGUUUUCAAGUCUGGUCGUCAUUGUUUGUUUCUGUUUUGUUGUCGCCUUCAAUUUCUGGAAUUCCUAGGAGUCACUUGUGUGGUGUCUGGGUCAUUUGUGUGUUCCAUCGUUGUUAACAAAAAGAAAAAGAAAAAAAACCGCUGGUGUCUUAGUUGUCGCAUCCUUAUUGCUGUUUUCUAUUGACUCGUGGGCAAUCUGUCUGUGUCUUGUUUAUUGUUAAUUCUAUUGAGUCUUGUGCGAAAUCUGUUCGUGUCUUGCUGUCUUUGUUUCCACCGUUUGUGUCCAGCAAAUUGAGGUGUCAGUUAGUGUUGAUCAUUGUGCCAAAGACGCGCAACAAAGCAUUGAGUCGUUCAAAUUUCAGUCUUGCCGCACUUAACAUUAUCUUUUGCAUGGCCCAAUCUGACCGAAUUGUCUCUUAAUUGUUGUGCCUGUCUCUUGUUCAACAUCUUGUUGUUGUCGUCAGUAAGUCCCAACCUGAGUUAAAAAAAAAAACAAAACAAAACAAAACAGAAGCAAUACUAGAAGGGGAAAAAAAAAUUACAGCCGCAGGGACUUCCUCUUGUUUCUUCAUAGCUUGUCUUGUGGUAUUGUGCGCAAAUCUGUCCAGAAAUUUCGCUCACUAGUUGGCUCUAGUUUCUGUCCAGCUUCUGGUUUAAUGCGUGUGGGGUCUUGUGUUGUUUGAGUCAUGUCCAAACAACCCAAACAAAAAAAAAUGAGAGGGGGGUCAGUAGCUAAUCUUUCUCCUUGUUUGUUCCGCUGCUGUCCGCAAUUUCCAGGCUGUGUGCUUCGUGUCUUGCAUUCGUUUCAGAUUUGUGUCACCACGUUUUGUGCCUGGCUAUUGUUUAUUGUUGUCCGGACUCUUUGUCUUUGCUGAUUAUCGUGUCUUGCCCAGAAAACAGAAGGGAAAGAAAAAAAAAGGGGAAAGAGAGUCACAUACCUUAUUGUGUCGUUGCUGGAAUUUACUUUGUGGGGGCUGCCGAACCUGAUUUGCUUGAACCUUGAGCUUUUGUGUUGUGCCUUGCAAUCUUGGAUACCAAAAUAGAUUUUGGGCAAUUCUUGAGCUCCCUGGACGAAAGCCUUGAUGCUCUUGGAUCAACCAAGACUGAUGUGUUGAUUUUGAUCGAGGGCUUUUGAAACUUGGGAAGGAAACUUAUUUCUUUCUUGGCAAUCUUGUACCUUGAACCAGAAAAAAAAAAGAAAAAAACAAAUCAAUCAAUUCCUUGGGACUGAAUCUGAGUUCUUGAGACAUAGAUUAGAGAGCUGCAACAAAAAAAAAAAAAAGAAACAAGAGACAAGCUUGGCUCCAAGUCUCCUAGUUCGGAUACAAGUCCCGCUCUCAAAACGCCUCUACUCCUAACACCUUUUGGAUUGAGGACAGCCAAGGAAAUUCAGAAAUCAAGCCCAAGCCUUCCUAACUACCCUCAACCUUACCACAUCAGACAUUAACCAGCCGCACCACACCUUGAAUCCUAAACCGCCACCCUACAAAUCAGUUCCUAAACAAAAACCACCGCCCACUAGCACUUGUUUCCCACUUUGGCUACAGCACCUUGUGCCCCGUUGUCAGUUACUAUCAAGGGCCAACCGACCCCUUCUUGAGCACCCCACAUAGAACCAACACCUCUUAAAACCCCCAGCGUAAGCCAAGGCAGUAGUAACACGAGGUGCCAGCACGCAAGAGUCAAAAAUGUCUUGUCUAGGCUUCGUAAAGGUCAGCCCUGAGUCGUUUAUUGAGUCCAUGUAAGUCUUGAGUCACUUAGUGAGUCUUUCAUUUUCUCUCAUUCGACUGCUAAGCAUUUGGUGACCUUGGUUGGUAAGUUGACCAAGAACUCCAGCAAGGCAAAAUAAAUAAUUUCCUUGUCGGUUAGAGCCUUGAGCGUCAUUCUUAAUUUUUUUGUAGCUUUGUGUCAAGUCUUUUCCCAAUUUUUAUUCUUGAAUAUAUUCUACCACUCCAUUCUUAGUGUCUUAAUUUUGUUUUCCAAGAAAAUCUCCACUCUUACGAACCUCAAAUUCUAGAGUGAACUUGAUUUUUAAGCUAAUUUUGAGCACUUGAGGAAUUCUAAUUUCUUCAAGGUUGUGCAAGGGGCUGUGAGAAAUUGUGGUGAGCUCAUUAGAGUGAUCUGAGUGACUAUACACGAGUGUGAGAGUAUACACUUAGGGAGUGAAGUGAAAAAAAAGGAAAGGGAGACAAACGUGUCUUUCCCCUUUUUUCCCUUUCUUUGCUACUAACCCUUGCAGGUACACUUGAGACUUCAUGUCUAGUGGCAACGAAGGAGCAUCUCGUCCUAUGGAUUUUGAACAAAUGAUGGAGCAAAUGGAGAGGCGCUUCCAACGCAUGCUAGAACCCAUUCAAGAUGAGUUGCUGCAGCUCCGGGCGUCUGGAACACCAAAGACGUCUAGGUCCACGCGAAGGUGAAAGGCCGUGGAAGAAUCCGAUAGUUCCAACAAUGAUGACGAUGACGGAGAACCUCGCGUUCGCCCAAGGCAAAGGAGCCAACCUGGACCUACUGAUGUGUUCAAGGGAAUCAAGAUGCAAAUCCCUGAAUUCAAAGGACGGUCCGAUCCCGAGGUCUUUCUCGAAUGGUUAUCCAAGAUCGAAAUGGUCUUUUCUUGCCAAAAUUACAUCGAGGUGCAAAAGGUGCAAUUGGCAACCAUGAAAUUCACUGAAUACGCUGUGAUUUGGUGCGACCAAAUCAAGAAGUCUAGAAGGAGAAAUGGGAUCCCUGAACUCGUUCCAUGGCCCGAGUUUCGAGCCAUGAUGCGCACCCGCUUUGUGCCUGGACAUUACACUAGGGAUUUGUACCACCGACUACAAACUUUAGUCCAAGGCAACCGGAGUGUGGAUGAGUACCACAAAGAGAUGGAGAUCCUGAUGCUUAGAGCAGAUGUACAAGAGGACCCCGAAACCACCAUGGCCAGGUUCUUGAACGGGUUAAGACCCGAUAUUGCUGAACGAGUGGAGCUCCAACACUACAUGGAGUUGCAUGAGCUUGUCGACAAGGCCAUUAAGGUCGAGCAAAGGCUCAAGAGGAGGGGUACUAGUCGAUCGAAUUUCAGCAAUACCACCUACCCUACCAACCGGCCAUUCUAACCAUGAAAUGAUUCUCGGUCUUCAUCAAAUGCGCCUACACCCAAGCCAAGAUUUGAGGGAGGUAAGGGGGGCAAUUCUAGUGUUAGUAAACCAACCACUUCUACUCCAAAAUUUGAGGAGCCUAAGGCACAAACUAGAGCUCGUGAUACUCGAUGCUUCAAAUGCCAAGGUAGAGGCCAUAUUGCUAGUCAAUGUCCCAAUCAUAGGACUAUGGUUAUGAUGCAAAAUGGCGAGAUCGUGAGCGAGGACGAAGCCGAGUACAAAGGCAUGCCACCCCUUGAAGGAGGUAGCUAGUGAUGGUGAGUCACCAAAUGAAGAGGAGUUUAGUGUACCCGAGGGUCACUUUGGGACCGCCUUGGUUGCAAGGAGAGCAUUAACUGCACGUGUUAAGGAGGACGAGCUUCAACGGGAGAACAUCUUCUACACUAGAUGUUUCGUCAAUCAAGCACUUUGUAGUGUGAUUAUUGAUAGUGGGAACUGUACAAAUGUAGUUAGUUCACUCAUGGUGGACAACUUGAAACUGCCUACGAGGGAUCACCCACGCCCCUACAAACUCCAAUAGCUCAAUAAUUCUAGGGAGGUUCGAAUAACCAAACAGGUUCUUGUAUCCUUCCAAAUUCAUAAAUACUCUGAUGAAGUAUUAUGUGAUGUUGUACCUAUGCAGGCUAGUCACAUUAUACUAGGUAGGCCGUGGCAGUUUGACAGGCAGGUAACUUUUGAUGGUGUGACUAACAAGUAUAGCUUCUUGUACAAUAGUAAGAAAGUCACCCUAGCUCCCCUUUCCCCAAAACAAGUGCACGAGAACCAAUUGAAAUUGCAACAAGAGUUUGAGAAGUAUAGUGCAAAAAGGAAAGAAAAUGAGAGAGCCGAGGCAAAAAAAGAGGGGAAAAAGGCUAUAGAUAACUCGGCAAGUGAGAUAAAAAUCGAGGGAAAACAAAUGCUCCUGAUAAAAGCCAAGAAAGUGAAGAAGUUACUGAGAGAUGAGUAGCCACUUCUUAUGCUUGUUAGCAAGGAAGUAGCCCUGAAUGUGCAUGAACUUGAUACUGAUAUACCUCUCGAGGUUAAGUCUCUUUUACAGGAGUACACUGAUGUCUUCCCCGAGGACGUGCCAAGUGGAUUGCCACCACUUAGGGGCAUUGAGCAUCAAAUUGACUUCAUCCCUGGAGCUUCAUUGCCAAAUCGCCCAGCAUACAAGAGCAACCUGGAGGAGACUAAAGAGUUGCAAAGGCAAGUGGAUGAGUUGCUUGGCAAAGGAUGGGCACAUGAGAGUUUAAACCCGUGUGCUGUUCCAGUCAUUCUAGUGCCCAAGAAAGAUGGUACGUGGAGAAUGUGUACCGAUUGCAGAGCCGUAAAUGCCAUCACGGUAAAGUAUCACCACCAUAUACCUCGCUUAGAUGACAUGCUUGAUGAGUUACAUGGGGUUGUGUUCUUUACCAAAAUUGAUCUCAAAAGUGGGUACCAUCAAAUUAGGAUUAAGGAGGGGGAUGAAGGGAAAACUACCUUCAAAACUAAGUAUGGCUUGUAUGAGUGGUUAGUGAUGUCUUUUGGGCUAACUAAUGCACCUAGUACCUUCAUGAGAUUAAUGAAUCAUGUUCUGCGUCCGUUCUUAGGAAAAUUUGUGGUAGUUUACUUUGACGAUAUCCUAAUUUAUAGCAAAUCUUAUGAUGAAGACCUAGAGUAUAUUAGGGCUGUUAUGAAUGUACUUCGAAGAGAGAAGCUCUAUGCCAAACUCAAGAAGUGCAAUUUUUGCACUAACGAGCUUGUGUUCCUAGGGUUUGUUAUAAGUGCGCAGGGAAUGAAGGUGGAUGAUCAAAAGGUGAAAGCUAUUCAAGAGUGGCCAACACCAAGGUCUGUAGGUGACGUUCGAAGCUUCCAUGGCCUUGCGGGUUUCUAUAGGAGAUUCGUGAGGGACUUUAGCACUAUUGCUGCACCCUUGACCGAGUUGAUCAAGAAGAAUGAGAACUUCCAUUGGGGAGAUUCUCAAGAACAAGUCUUUCGCGCUUUAAAGCACAAACUCACAUAUGCACCUGUACUUGCUUCACCUGACUUUUCUAAAACAUUUGAAAUUGAUUGUGAUGCUUCAGGUAUUGGAGUUGGAGCUGUGUUGAACCAAGGAGGAAGACCUAUUGCCUACUUUAGUGAGAAACUCAAUGGGGCUGCACUGAACUACUCAACUUAUGAUAAAGAGUUGUACGCCCUCAUUCGAGCACUACAAGUUUGGCAAUGCUACUUAAGGCCUAAGAAAUUCGUGAUACACACUGAUUAUGAGUCCCUUAAAUACCUUAAGGCCCAGCACACCUUGAGCAACAAGCAUGCAAGGUGGAUCACAUUCGUGGAGUCCUUUCCGUACGUGAUUAAAUACAAGGCUGGUAAGUCUAAUGUGGUUGCGGAUGCACUCUCACGAAGUUACUCUCUACUCACUUCCUUAGAUGCUAAGUUGUUAGAGUUUGAGCUUAUUAAAGACAUCUAUGCACAAGAUAGUGAUUUCGGUGAACUUUACCUUUCUUGCAAACAUACUGGGUAAGGUAAAUUCUUCAUUUCCGAUGGUUACUUGUUUUAUGCCAAUCGGCUUUGCAUUCCACAUGGAUCCAUCCGCGAACUUUUGGUACGAGAAUCCCAUUCGGAUGGCCUUAUGGGACAUUUUGGGGUUGAUAAGACUCUUGCCAUGCUGCAGGAGCACUUCUAUUGGCCGCACAUGAGGAGAGAUGUUGCACGGGUGGUGAAGCGAUGCUUAGCUUGUAAGAAGCUAAAUCCAAGGUACACCCGUAUGGCCUUUACACCCCGUUACCUAUUUCUAGUGCAAUAUGGGUUGACAUUUCUAUGAAUUUUAUACUUGGUUUGUCUAGAUCCAAGUAUGGCCAUGACUCCAUUUAUGUGGUUGUUGAUAGAUUCUCUAAAAUGGCACAUUUCAUUGCUUGUCAUAAAACGGAUGAUGCAUCUCAUAUUGCUAAUUUGUUCUUUAAAGAGAUUGUGAGAUUGCAUGGCAUUCCUAGGACCAUUGUAUCUGAUAGAGAUGUUAAAUUCCUGAGCUAUUUUUGGAAGACACUCUGGUCUAAAUUAGGCACCAAAUUGCUAUUCUCUACUGCUAGCCACCCCCAAACUGAUGGUCAAACCGAUGUGGUAAAUCGUACAUUAGGUACCUUGUUGCGUGCCAUCAUCAAAAGGAACUUGAAAUCUUGGGAAGAGUGUUUACCUCAUGUUGAGUUUGCUUAUAAUAGGGCUAUCCAUUCUACUACCGAUUUCUCUCCAUUCGAGUGUGUUUAUGGUUUUAAUCCGCUAACACCACUUGAUCUAGUGCCAUUACCUAGUAAUGAGCGUGCGCAUUUGGAUGGUAAGAAACGUGCAGAGUUUGUUAAGCAACUGUAUGAGAAAGUCAGGGUCAACAUUGAGAGGAGAACUGCUCAAUAUGUGAAGCAAGCCAACAAAGGGCGCCAAAAGUUGAUUUUCAAACCCGAGAAUUGGGUGUGGUUGCACAUGCGCAAGGAACGAUUCCCUGUUCAAAGGAGAAAUAAAUUACACCCACGUGGUGAUGGACCGUUUCAGGUGUUGGAGCGCAUCAAUGACAACGCCUACAAACUUGACCUUCCUGGUGAGUAUGGAAUUAGUGCUACAUUUAAUGUCUCUGACUUAGCUCAUUUUGAUGCAGAUGAUGUGUUUGAUUUGAGGACAAAUCCUUCUCAAGAUGAGGGGAAUGAUAGCAUCAUGGUACGUGGGCAGGUCAACAAUGGCUCGAAUAAUCGAGGAGCUGAGGAUCACGUGCACGUUCCAAGUGGACCCAUUACUAGGGCUCGCGCAAAGAAACUUCGUGAGCAACUUAAUGUACUUAUUCAGGCCAUACACAAGUUCUUUGAAGGAUUCAUACACUCAAGUGAAGGUGGUCGCGGUCCGAUAAUGAGCAUUGAAGCUACACCUGAGGAUUAGGAUUUUUGCCAAACCCUAAUUUCCGUUUUAGCAUCAUAGUUAGUUAUUUCCACAUUAGUUGAUUAGAUUGAAUAAUUGGCUAAGUGCAUAUUGCACGUAGAAUCACCAAGGGUAGGAUUGCUAAUUUACUCAUUAUUAUUUGCUAGAGUGGGCUGCCUAGGAAGGAAAGCGCAUGUGAGGCCCAACCCGUCGGGGGCCCAUAUCUACUGCACCCUUAGUCCAUUUUUUUACUAGAUUAGGUUUUUGACUUGUAGCCUAUAUAAGGCACCAUAUUACAUCAUUAAAGGGUAGACACUUUUAUCAUAAAAAAUCUAGUGUGAGAAUUUUCUCCAUAGCUUUCGAGCAAUCCUUGAACAAUUUAGAGUUUUACUCGAGUGUUCUUGUUUGACUUAUCAAUUCAAGAACCAUACUUGAAUUGUGGCGCCUUCUACACUUGCCUGAGGUUCGCUAAUUCGUUUGAUUACGGGUUGAGAUAAUAUCAACAAGUUCGUAGCCAUGGGGAUUAGAGGGGUCGUAGGGUUUCCACUGCUACUGUUGCUUGCGUUCGAAGUCAAAUCCAACAAGUGAUCUUGGGUCGCGAAUCUUCUCACCAACGAGAUUCGUAUCACUAGGUGGGAUAAGCAAUAUGUUUGGGAUGCUGUGGUUGAUAGUAGUUCAUAGGUGAUUAUAGAUAUACCUGAUCCAAAAAACCUCUUACUUCGAGGAACACAAAUCAGACUUUAUCUAAGGGUACUCAUGCUCUUUUAUUUUUCAAUCAUAUAAAUGGUUUUUGUAUCUUAAACUUUCAUUCAUAUGCUUUGGGAAAGAAGAUAGGAAGUUCAAUUAGUUAUUUCUCCUAUGUCUUGUGAAUGCUUAUGUUGGUAGGCAAUCAAUUCUACUCUAUAAUUUCAAUGUAUAAACAAUUAAAAUAAGAUGCGUAUAACAUCAACGACAAUCUGAAAAGAUUUUUGUUAUUGUAAGAGGAUGAUAAGUAUGACUUUUGAGUCAACCAGGGUCCAGAAUUUGAUGAAGAACUAUUCACAGUCCAUUUUCUUCUCUAUCUAUGUUUGGCUAGAGAAAUCAAGAACUAUUGAGAUACGGACUUUUUCUUUUAAAUUUGUUUUCCCUGAAAAGAAUAAAUCCUCUCUCUCUCUCUCUCUCUCUCUCUUCCUCUCUCACAUACAUACACACACCCCCGUCAUAAGUUGAUAUUGUUACUGCAACAUGUUUUUAGAUUUCUACCUAUAUUAUUUCAUUUUUUUAAAUAAAGUAAUUCCAUUAACUCAUCUCAUGGUACACAAUACCAUGAAUUCUAGUUUCUUCAGAUUUUUAUCUGGUGGGACUUUACGUAACCUAGGGUUUUGCUAGAUCAAAACCAUGGCUGCCCUUCAGCCGUCUGCUGGAGGCCAAUUACCUUCAUCUCCAACCUUUCAACGAAAAUCUUUUUCAAAGUUAUUUUCGUCCCAAUCAUCUUAGCCUAUCCUAUCAAUUAAAACUGCGACUUCAACACAUAAAAGAUGCAAUAGAUAUUCUAUCGCAUCCCUAUAGAAGUAGGAGUAUUUUCUAAGAGUAGGCCAAAAAUGAAGGAGCUUAGGAAAUUCUUUCUAUCAUUGGAUUUAAAGGAGUCAGUGUCUAUGGGUUUGUUGGAUUCAAGGCAUAUUCUUAUUAGUCUCCAUAACGAAGUGGACUUUCACUGUAUUUGGUCUCGAAAUAUCUGGUAUAUUUUGGGUUUUCCUAUGAGAGUUUUCAAGUGGCAAAGAGGUUUCAGUUGCUCCUGUUUGGUUCCAAUUGCCGAAGCUUCCGCUACACUAUUUCAAUAAGAAGGUUCUCUUUCAAAUAGUCUCUAUGUUGGGAGCUCUGUUAUUCGUAGAUGCUGCUACUUUGACUACUUUGCAUCCAAGUGUAGAGAGGGUAUGUGUAGAAAUUGAUCUGCUUAAGCCGAGGCCUUCUAGACUUUGGAUUGGGAAUGGUAGUCAUGAAAGUUUCUGGCAAUAUCUUGUCCCAGAAAACAUGCCCAAAUUCUGAUAUCAUUGUUUUAGACAAGGACAUGGAGAGGCCGAAUGUCAUGUUUUAAAUCCAGAGCUUCGGGUACCUAAGGGGGAAGAAAGGCAGCUAGUUUUACAGAAUAUGCGCACAGAGUACAGGCCAAAGAAUCAAGAAAGGGUAAUGAAGGUGGGAGUUCGGCCAGUCCUUCUGGGGUUGUUGUGAUAGCUAUGACAGGAUAGAACUUGAUAAAAGCAAUGACUGCGAGUUCUGGUGUGGCACUGCAAACGGUUCUGCCAUCUAAUGUUUCAGGGGUUGCAGAAGCAACACAAGAGGUUUUGCCUACCCAGCGGCAGCUUGGUGAUAUGUUGCAAUUUGGUACAAGCAAGGUUCAAACCUUUUAGACACCCAUCACGCGAAGUUUAAUGACAUGCAUCAUGUGAGGACCCGAAAAUUAUUUCAUCUUUUUUUCUAUUUCUUUGAAUACAUUUUCUUUACUUUGCUUUAUUGCCUUAAUUUCUUAGAUAUUUUUAUAAGUGAGUUAAGAUUUUUAAACAUUUUCUCCUAUAAGUUAGUGUAUGUUAAGUUCGUAAUACAUUAUAGAAGUGGGAACCACUAGUGAGUUGCGUAAUAAAUUUAGUGGACAAAAUGGAUAUUUUUUAAGAGGGUUUAUGUGGUUAGAAUUCCUAAGAGUGGAUUAGAGUAAAACAAUAUAGAUUACUCAUUAGAGACAAAGGAAUGACAAAAAGAUAAGUUCAAACCCUAAGUCGACAAGUGUCGGACAUCUAGCCAUCCUUUGACUAAGACAACUUGUGGUCUUAUCUUGGAAAAUUGGGCAAGAAUUCCUUCAUUCUUUCUUUCCUCUUGGCCGAACCUUCAUGAGAGAAAGGGAGCCGAGAGAAAACCAAUUUCUAGUCUUGAAUCCUUGCCUUUUUAGUGAACAGACAAGAUAGAAACCAAAAUCACUCCAUAAAACUUUGAAAUCCAACUUGGAAGGAAGCUCUUGGUGAAGUCUUGGGAGAGAGAAAGAUUUGCAACCCUCUUGAUUGGCUUGUUAUCUAAGGGGUUCAAGGUAUCAAGCUAAGCAACCUUCUUUUCACUCUUAUCUUGCCUUUUGUUGGAUAUAUGACUUGAUUAUGGUGGAUUCUAGGGAAAAUUUCAUGAUAUGUGUGGUGAUUGGAAAAAUUCCAGCUUUGAAAGAGAAAUUUCAGCCUUGAAAUGUUGAUUUUAGCUAUGUUAAGUACUUGUUGUCUUGCCAUGGAGUUUCUCUAGCUUUUGUGUGCACUUGUGACUUCAUUGUAUGAACUUUUAGCUUUAGUAUAUAAAUUUCAGCUUAGGGUUACAUUUUUUUCCAACUUUGAUAUGGUUAUGAUUGAGAUAGAUAAUGGUCUAUUUUGGGUAGCUUUUGUGGCCUUAAACAAGUGUACUUUAUAGCCUAUAACUUGUGAUUGUGAUUGAGGUUGGAUUGCUACGAAUAUAAGUGCUGAAUUUGGAAAGGAAAGUUAAGAAAUCAAGGGGAAAUGCUGUCCGAUUGGGAAUCAUCUUGGUUUCCUUUGAUUGUGGAGUGAAUGUGUGGCAAAUUUGCCUAAGAUACUAGGUAAACCUUUAAACUUUACUUAUGUGUUGAAUUUGAGAUGAAAUGGAGGGUUUUCAUUGGUACUUUUCUCUAAUUUGCUGGCUACAGUUGUUGCUUGUUGGCCGUGUGGAUAGUGAUGUAUUUUACCUUAUUUUUCUUCAACCUUUUUAUGAUAAGUUUUGGCCAAAACCUGUUCCAAACAUUGGUUGGGACUUUUGUGUGUUAAACUUGAAUAAAAGCUGUGAAAUUUGGAAAGUGAAAGCCUCAUGAUUUUGCUUGCUCCAUUGUUGAAAUUUCUGGUAGGUAGGGCAGCCUUGUACCAUGCUAUCUUUUAGCUUUAAAACCCUUAGUUUGAUAAUCUUUUGGACACAAUCUUGCUCAUUUCACUUGCUAAACCUUGAACAACUAUGAUGUGUUAAAUUGGAGUGAAUAUCAUAACUAAAAGAGGUGCACUACCUUGUUUUUCUUCAUUGUUUUGUUGCUGGAAAUUUCCCCACGAAACUCUGGGCAGUUUUGGAAAAUUGGUUAUAACUUCAUGUAGAAAAGUUGAAAUUAAGUUCUGUUUGUUGCGUUUGAAACUAAAUUCAGAUUACUUUCUAUCGUGAAAAUUUCAGAAUUUUUGUCAAUUCCUAUGAAUAUCUGUGAUUUUUCAAACUUGACUGAAUUUUCACACCUGUUUUGUUUUUCUACCGGAUGAAGUAGUAACUUGAGACUAGAAUUUGACUGAAUUGUGGUCAGAAUCUUACAAAUAUGUCUUCUAGAAAUUGUAAUCCUUUGAGUCUAUUCUCCAAGUGUAUAAAGUUUAUAAAUUUUGGACUUAAGAAACUUGAGAUAUGAUUUUUCAAAUAGCAUCGCUCAAAACUGAAAAAAAUUCUGUUCUUCAAAAGCUGUUAGUGCUUUCAUUUCCAACUUCAAGUAGGAGUGGUAGAACCAUAUUGAGCUUGGUUUUAUGAUUGGAGUUGAGAUAACUUGGUUGGUAUGGAAGUGUUUUCCUUUGAAUAUAGUAGCUUGGAGUAGUGGAUCUCAUGGCAUUUUACAUACUUGAUUUUAAGACUUGAAGGUGAGGCCGAAAGUGCUCCUUAGGCAAAUACUUAAGGUUGUUGCCGUGGUGAGUGUUCCAAUCGCAUGUUCCAUGCUUAUUGCUGCUAGAAAUUUGCUAGACUUGAUUUAACAUUUCAUAGGCGAGUGUGUACUUUAUCGCGCUUGACCUAAUUUGACUAAACACUUGAUAUUGCAUUCAUGUAUGUCCAAAUAAUUUGAUUUGCAUGUGACCUGUAUCUUGAAUUGGAAUACUUGAAAUACUUGAAAAUGUGACAUGCUAGGCAUUACUUGUGACUUGGCCAUGGCUAGGUGAGUGUGUCCUUAUUCGCACUCUAUCUCCAUGAGAUUGAAAUAAUUGAUCCUGCGUACGGAGUUGCAUGUCUAUGUGCAUGGUUGUAGACCGGCUGCAUUCCUCUUGCAGCGGUUGAACUAAGCCCUUGGACCUUUACCCGAUAUGUUGGGUAAGUGAAAACUUGGGUUACUCAUGCGUAUGCGUGAAUGUAGGUUGGUAACGGCUGAACUGAGCCCUCGUUGAACCUCUUUCUUGAGACCAGUUUCAGAGCAGUCGGGUAAGCCUGGCAACCUUGGGUAAAGGACAAAGUUCCUAAUCUGUUUACUCUUGAUUGAAAUUCGUGACCUGAACUCUGAUAUUUCUAAAUACAGAGCGUUAAGUGAUAACUAACGUCUUCAAUCAUUACCUGCGUGAGUGUUGGAUAACAACAACGACUCCACUCCUGAAUACUUAAAUACUUGGGGCUCUAAAUAAUAUCUUGAAUAUCUGAAUAUCUGGGGCUAUAGCCCAACCCAAGGCUAGUUGGUCGAAUCGAGCUGAUAAGGGGUUGGUCGAGGAGAUCGACGAACCUUGGGUACUUCUUUGACGUUCGGGCCCAGUAAGGGAAUGAUCAGUGGACGGAGAUUGACAUUUAGUGGUGAUCUAUGGACAUUAUAAUUUCCUGGUUGACAGAGAGUCAACAGACCUCGGACAAGCUACUGUGGAACCUGUUCCUGAGAGCGAACUAUAUCUUUUGACAUGAACGUGUUCUUUAUCGUAUACUUUUACAUGAUCUAUAUGAUUACCUGCAUUACGAUACACUAUGCCAUGAUCAAUAUGAGCAUGACUAGUUUUCUGAUAUCCUGUGAAUGAUAUCAUGCCUGCUAGUUUACUUGCCUGUUUUCGUGGAACGUCACUAGGCUUUUAACUCAUUCCAUGAAUUUGUUUUCCUUACAAGAAUGAGAAUGUAAGAGUGGAAAUUGGAAAAGGCCUAGAUUUCAUCUAAGUUUGUUAGUUGCUUAUGUGAGCACUCCAUCUAGCUGGCUUGUUUGGUUUGAUUUUUGCAAGUUUGACUCCUUGGCUAUAUUUAUAGAUUGUGUGGGUAUUGGAGGUCCAUGAGUGUACACAUUGAAGGUUGUAAUUGAUAUCGCUUUUAUUAUUGAGGUUAUUAUUUAUAAAUUUUAUGAUGCGUGACUAAGGUCUGGUGAGAGUUGGACAGGCGGUCCACCAAACCCUUGGGUACGCCUUAGGGGAAGAUGGGGUUAUCACAGGUGAUAUCAGAGCUGUUUCAUGUGGUCUCGGUGUGGGGUGAGCUUGGGUCAAGUUGUGAGGACUUGCAAAAACUCUUCAUAUUUCCUUAAAAAAAUUCCCUUUUAUUUUGAAUUAAUUACUUUAUAAUAACUUUACUACUCAUUUACUCCCUCAAUAGUUGGAAUAAAGAAUAGAAUUAAGAGUUUUCCCUUUACUUUUAUAGUUAGGGUAAAUUAGAGUUUUUGCGCAUUUUGGUAAUGUGAUCACUUGGUGAGGUGUGUGUACUAAAUUUGGUGGAUAAGCAAGAGUAUUAGGUAAGAAAAAAAUAUGUGAUUAGAAGUGUUAAUAAUAAAUGAGCGAAAACACAAGUACGCGAGAGUUGAGGAAAAAAUGUUUGAACUGACGUGCACCGUUUGCUACCGAUUGAAUAUACCAUUUGAACACUACUUUAUUUCCUUAAUCCCAUUAUUUUUAAUUGAGCUAAUUAGCCCUUAAUUAACCCUUAAGUGGCCAAAAUUCUUGACCAAAGGAAGAGAGAGAAAAGAGAAUAUUUUGAGAUUUAACCAUGAAGCGACACUUGGCGGAAAUCCAACCAACUUUGACUAAACAAAUUUCCUUCCUUCUUAUCUUCAAAUUUGCUUCAUUUCUCCUUCAUUUCUUUUCUUGUUGGCCGAGAGUGAGGAGAGAAAAAAGAGAGGAGAAAGUUUGCAACUCCAACCUUGAAUCCAUCUUUAUUUGAGUGAAAUCUCAAAAACUAAACCGAUUAAACUUACUUUUUGGUAUUUGAAAAGCUUGGUGUGGUGAAAUUUUGGAAGGGAGUGAUUUGUUUUUCACUUGCAAGAAGCUUUUGGGAAGGUAUAAGGCCUAAACUUUCUUUUCUUUUGUUUAAUCUUGCUAAGUUUAAUAUAGGAGCUUUUAAUCUUGGCUUGCUAUGGUUGAUUAUUUAGUUUUGAUGGAGUAGUGGCAUGUUUAGGUAGGGUUUGCAUCUUUUCAGUUUUGAUUAGUGUUUUUUAACUAGUAAAUGAUGUUAUUGAGGUGGGAAAUGGAACUUGUGAAGUGAUUUUGGGUUUGAGUGUAACUUUGUUAGAGUAAAAGUUGAAUUCCAGCAUUUGGUAGUGAUUCUGCCCUGUUUUUGGAGCCAAUCUGACCUGCAUAUUCGUCCAUGAUAAAGGCCAAGUCAGUUCUUUCUUAAAACAUGAAAGUUGUAGGGAGUUGAGUUAGCUUUCUACCUGUAAAAUUUCAGCUCAAUUGGAGCACUGUAGAAUGUAAAAUGACUGAAAUACCCUUGACUGCCCAAGUGCCCUGUUUAACCGACAACUUUUUAUUUUCUCUGAGAUGUCAAAUUUUGACCCUGAAAAUGCACGAACUGGGUGUUGAUGUCUUCAUAGGAAAUGUAGGUCUAUGUCUUACCUUCGAAACGCCAUAAAAUUUACCUUGAUCCGAUAGACCUAGCUUCAGUUAUGACCAAAACACCAAACAAUGACAAAUCUGCCACUUAGACAUUCUUCUUUAAUACUAGUUUUCAGCUUUGGUCUUGGAGGUUUCAUUGUUAGAAUUGACUUAUAUUUGGAUGAUAUUGAGCCUAAUUGAAGAGCUAUUGUGUUAAGAUUGCUUAUGUAUUGAAUUUGGGCUGAGUUGAGAAAAAAAUGAAGCCAUAAAUCACUAAAAAAUAGUGAAAUACAAAGGGCAUACUGCCCAAAUUUUCGCUCAAAGGUUAGGCAAGUGAACUUGAGACUUGAGCGACGAUUUGAAGUCAAAAUGAACUUGGAUUGUCUAUGGUAGUCAAGUUACCGUUAGUAGAGGUAUAUGAGCUAAAUUUGGCCAAAACUCAUACCCUUUAAAAGGUGAAUGCGACCAAUAGAAAUACGUUUUUCUCGUCUUUUAGACUCAAAUGCGAAUUUCAAAGUUUUAAUUGAUUCUUUAGCAACACCAAAAGAGCGAGCAUGAAUUUUCUAGAGUUUGAUAAGUAACAUGAAUACUACCUAAAUGAGUUUCAGUUACUUGAUUUUUUUUAAGCGAAACUCUGAAGUUUCGAAGCCUAAUUGAUUUCAAACUCUUUAAUGAUGUUUUAUCACAGAUUUGGACUCCAAACAAGGAGUUAUACCUGACCGUGAUCCUAAGAAGCACUAAAUCUUUGGUGAGUGCUUCCAAAUACCUAAUUGAACUUGACACUUGUUUUAAAUGCUUGACCAACGUGGUCGAAUGAUACUUAAUUGGUUUGGUCGGGCAAGAGUGUACUUUAUCGCACUUGCCCUAAUGUGAUAUAUUCUUGUUCAUUGGUUGCAAUUAACUUGAUAUACAUGUGUUUGAUUCGUAUCUUGUCUGGAAUUCCAAAAACCCUAUGGCUAGUUAAUCGAGUCUAGCGGGCAAGAGCCUGAUUGAUUAGAUAAUGAACCCUGAGUCUCUAGUUUUGUCGAGUGGAAUAAUAUCUCCUCGACUAAUUGGUAUACUCGAGUAUUACCACACGUGUUUAUUUGAACGUUCGGACCCGGUAAGGAGGUUGAAUGGUGGACGGAGAUUGUGUUAAGUGGGGCACUACUGGACUAAUUACUUUAUUUGAAAUUUGACGGAGUGUCAACUACUUUUUGAUCAAGCUAUGGCAGAGCUAUUUUAUAAUAGCGGCCGUAUCCUUUUACUUGACAUGUUCAUUAUCCAGUGAUUGGCAUUACGAAGUGUUAUUACUCAUUUUUUUGACUUGAUAUGCUCACUACUUUGCUAUUUUGAUACUUUCACUUUUAAUUAAUGGUCAACUUGCUAUUUGGAACCUCACUGAAUUUCAACUCAUUCUAUUAGAUUUAUUUUUCUUAUAGAGGGUACGAGCGAGGUGUGAAACUGGUACAAGUUAGCAUAGUCUAGUUUUUAAAAAUUUUGCGAUUGUCCUCGAACUAUCCAGUGAUUGGUAUUACGAAGUGUUAUUACUCAUUUUCUUGACUCGAUAUGCUCGCUACUUUGCUAUUUUGAUACUUUCACUUUUAAUUAAUGGUCAACUUGCUAUUUGGAAUCUCACUGAAUUUCAGCUCAUUCUAUUAGAUUCGUUUUCCUUAUAGGGGGUACGAGCGAGGCGUGAGACUGGUACAAGCUAGCAUAGCCUAGUUUUUGGAAAUUUUGUGAUUGUACUCGCACUAGUCGCUCAAUUAGGUUGAAUGUACUUAGAACUUCAAUCUUUUGAUAUAAUUGGACCUGUAUAAGCAUUGGAGCUGAAUUUAAACAUUAAUGUAUGUUCCAAUGUUGGGAUUGUUGCUUUAUUUCCUUUCUAUGGUUGUAAGUUAUUUUCUUGAGGUGCGUGAGAGUGAGUCCUGGUGAGAGUUGGGCAACCGGUCUGCUAAACCCUAGGGUACGACUUAGGGGGAGAUGGGGUCAUCACACAAGUAGUGUUAUGGUCCCAAUUAUGUAAAUAAGUAUAAAGGAUUAAGUGCUCUUCUUAGAUGUAAGUUGUGAAUCAUGAAAGUUAUAGGUGUAAAACCUUUAUCAUGAUACUUCAGGAAAAUAGACACGUAUGUUAGGUAGGAAUUUUAAACUUGGUUGAUUUUCCCUUGGGAGCGUACGACCUGAGACGUGAAUUCUCCUAGUUUCAGAUUCUUGUACCCGAGUACCAAAAGUGAAGAACACUAGAAUAAGGGUCGAUAUCUCGGUUGCACUUGAGAUAAAUUUGGAUGGCAAAAGACAAAACGUGAAAGAUUCUAAUAUUGAACUUGAGAUUGAAUUGAUCAAGGAGAGUGGAUCAAUAAGUGUCGUCAUGGACUAAUCUCAUGCAUGUCUGGUUAGGGUUUCUAUAGAUGAUGGCUAGCUUUGCAGUCAUCGUGAAUGUUUAAGAUGCUAGUAUUGUAACUUGUUUCAUUUCUCAUGUACCUAUAUAUUCUUGUUCUGUGUUUUCUUGAUUUUGUUGCGAUUUGAUUACGGUUACAUAUGUAUUUCUUUUAAUUUCUUACUUGACUACCAUUUUCUAUUUCCUACCCUUCUAUGAUACCCUAUAGGAACUUGGUUUUAAUGUAUAUUUCUCUAGUUUUGGAUUAUGUAUGGGAUUUUGGGGACAAAAACUUGAGUUCUAUACUUAUAUACGAAUUUUGGCAGAAUUUGGAUGAACGUCUUGAUGGGGGAUGGUACAGAACACUAGUGAGAGUAAGAGGUUAUGGAUUCUUCUUGAGCAACUUUGUAAGUGAGUAAUGGAGAGUGAGUUAGGGUGUGAAACUUUUAUUUUAAGGAAUUUGAUUCCGUAUUUUGUUAUAUGUAUAAGUGAUGAUAGUAAUCUUUGUGGGAAGACACAAGAACUCGUCUAUCUCAAGUAGAGAAUAGUUAAGAUUUAUAUUUCUUUGGUAACCUGUAAGCAAAAGAACGGAAGAGUAAUAUGGCCAGAGUUUCCAAUUGUAAAUAGUUACUCAUUUUGAUCCUUUGAUUUGCCUGCGGGCUAUCAUUUGAUUUAAGUAAAUCAUUGAGAUGACAAAUUUGGGAGAUAUGCAUAAGGAAAUAGACAUUCUUCGAAAGGAGGUAGAAUUUCAAAAGAAAUUGGCUGACUGCUAGGAAAGACGAUGGAAACAAUAAUAUGCGGAGAAAAUUGAGUUGCUACACAAGAACGUGGAACUGGAAAAGAAAUACAGAGGGAUCCCGAAAAAGAUGCGUAACUACUAAGUGUGAAACUUGUAACAAAAUUCAUACUAGAAUAUGUUAUUUGAAAACUGGUGCAUGUCUUAGAUGCGGCCAACUUAAACAUCAAGUGAGGAACUGUCCAAGACAAAUGAAUCCUUAUCCAUGGUGAAACUGCUGUAAUAAUUAAAGUUAGUAAUUAGUGAUGUUUUGGCUAAAAUAGUUGUAUUUAUUGGACUAUGUGUUAUGCAAAUUUUAUGUAGCAAGUUGUAUCUUUGUUAGAAACAGUGAACUUGGUGCCUGAUGUUUCGAUUAAUGAUAUUACACAUCUGUGUUUGGUUGGAAUUAAACCCCUAUUUGUGAUUCAAUUUCUACACCUGUUCUUGGAUUUGAACAAGAAUUCUUUAUUUGUGGUUAAUAAUGAAGGAAGGCAGUUCGAUUAGAGGAGAUAGUAUGUUGCCAGUGUACUGUGUUUGAUUUCAAGAUCUAGCAGAAGUAGUAACCAAGUUUUGUAAUUAUUAUAUUACCCUGCACACAUUUGACAUCUUUGUUAAACUUUCUUAGCAUAUUAACGUAACAUUUACGUGGUAAGAUUUUCUCUCUAAAUAAGUUUAUGGUAGUACUAUGAGUAAGAGAAAGUCACUUGAAAAUUGGAGGAAAAUCCUGCAGCAUUAAGUUUAUGCAAGCAAAGGUGAGAAUUUCAAGGACGGAAUUCUUUUAAGGGGGAGAGAGUUUGAGGACUCAAAAAUUAUUUCAUCUUUUCUUUUAUUUCUUUGAAUACACUUUCUUUACUUUGCUUUAUUGUCUUAAUUUUCUAGAUAUUUUUAUAAGUGAGCUAAGAUUUUUAAAUAUUUUCUCCUAUAAGUUAUUGUAUGUUAAGUUCAUAAUGCAUAAUAGAAGUGGGACCCACUAGUGAAUUGCGUAAAAAAUUUAGUGGACAAAAAUGUAUAUUUUUCUCAGAGGGUUUAUGUGGUUAGAAUUAUUGAGAGUGAAUUAGAAGAAAACAAUAUAGAUUACUCAUUAGAGACAAAAGAAAGACAAAAGGAUAAGUUUAAACCCUAAGCCGACAAGUGUCGGACAUCUAGCAAUCCUUUGACGAAGACAAUUUUUGAUUUUAUCUUGGAAAAUUGGACAAAAAUUCCUUCAUUCUUUCUUUUCUCUUGCCGAACCUUCAUGAAAGAAAGGGAGAGGAGAGAAAACCAAUUUCUAGUCUUGAAUCCUUGCCUUUUUAGUGAACAAACAAGAUUGAAACCAAAAUCACUCCAUAAAACUUUGAAUCCAACUUGAAGGGAAGCUCUUGGUGAAGUCUUGGGAGAAAGAAAGUUUUGCAACCCUCUUGAUUGGCUUGUUAUCCAAGGGGUUGAAGGUAUCAAGCUAAGCAACCUUCUUUUCACUCUUAUCUUGCCUUUUGUUGGAUAUAUGACUUGAUUAUGGUGGAUUCUAGGGAAAACUUCAUGAUAUAUGUGGUGAUUGGAAAAAUUUCCAGCUUCGAGAGAGAAUUUCAGCCUUGAAAUGUUGAUUUUAGCUAUGUUAUGUCCUUGUUGUCUUGCCUUGGAGUUUCUCUAGCUUUUGUGUGCACUUGUGACUUCAUUAUAUGAACUUUUGGAUUUAAUAUAUAAAUUUCAGCUUAGAGUUGCAUUUUUUCCAGCUUUGAUAUGGUUAUGGUUGAGCUAGAUAAUGGUCUAUUUUGGGUAGCUUUUGUGGCCUUAAACAAGUGUAAUUUAUAGCCUAUAACUUGUGGUUGUGAUUGAGGUUGGAUUGCUACGAAUAUAAGUGUUGAAUUUGGAAAGGAAAGUUAAGAAAUCAAGGAGAAAUGUUGUCUGAUUGGGAAUCAUCUUGGUUUCCUUUGAUUGUGGAGUGAAUUUGUGGCAAAUUUGUCUAAGAUACUGGGUAAACCUUUAAACUUUACUUAUGUGUUGAAUUUGAGAUGAAAUGGAGGGUUUUCAUUGGUACUUUUCUCUAAUUUGCUGGCUACAGUUGUUGCUUGUUGGCCGUGUGGAUAGUGAUGUAUUUUACCUUGUUUUUCUUCAACUUUUUUUGAUAAAUUUUGGCCAAAACCUGUUUCAAACAUUGAUUGGGACUUUUGUGUGUUAAACUUGAAUAAAAGCUGUGAAUUUUGGAAGCUGAAAGCCUCAUGAUUUUGCUUGUUCCAUUGUUGAAAUUUCUAGUAGGCAGGGCAGCCUUGUACCUUGAUAUCUUUUAGCCUUAAAACCCUUAAUUUGGUAAUCUUUUGGACACAAUCCUGCUCAUUUCACUUGCUAAAACCUUGAACAACUAUGGUGUGUUGAAUUGGAGUGAAUAUCAUAACCAAAAGAGGUGCACUACCUUGUUUUUCUUCAUUGUUUUGCUGCUAGAAAUUUUCCCGGGAAGCUCUGUGCAGUUUUGGAAAAUUGGUUAUAACUUCAUGUAGAAACGUUAAAAUUAAGUUCCGUUUGUUGCGUUUGAAACUAAAUUCAGAUUACUUUUUACCAUGAAAAUUUCAGAAAUUUUCUCAAUUCCUAUGAUAUCUGUGAUUUUUCAAAGUUGACUGAAUUUUCACACCUGUUCUGUUUUUCUACCAGAUGAAGCAACAACUUGAGACUAGAAUUUGAUUGAAUUGUGGUCAGAAUCUUACAAAUAUGUCUGUUAGGAAAUUGUAAUCCUUUGAGUCUAUUCUCCAAGGGUAUAAAGUUUAUAAAUUUUGGACUUAAGAAACUUGAGAUAUGAUUUUUCAAAUAGCAUCGCUCAAAACUGAAAAAAAUCUGUUCUUCAAAAGCUGUUCUUGCUUUCAUUUCCAACUUCAAGUAGGAGUGGUAGAACCAUAUUGAGCUUGGUUUUAUGAUUGGAGUUGAGAUAACUUGGUUGGUUUGUAUGUUUUUUCAUUUGAAUAUGGUAGUUUAGAAUAGUGGAUCUCAUGGCAUUUUACAUACUUGAUUUUAGGACUUAAAGGUGAGGCCGGAAGUGCUCCUGAGGCAAACACUUAAGCUUGUUGCCGUGGUGAGUGUUCCGACUGCAUGUUCCAUGCUCAUUGUUAUUAGAAAUUUGCUAGACUUGAUUUGACAUUUCGUAGGCAAGUGUGUAUUUUAUUGCACUUGACCUAAUUUGGCUAAACACUUGAUAUUGCAUUCAUGUAUGUCCAAGUAACUUGAUUUGUAUGUGACCUGUAUCUUGACUUGGAAUACUUGAAAAUAUGACAUGCUCGGCAUUACUUGCGACUUGGCCAUGGCUAGGCAAGUGUGUCCUUAUUCGCACUCGAUCUCCAUGAACUUAAAAUAAUUGAUCCUGCAUGCAGACUUGCAUGUUUGUGUGCAUGAUUGUAGACCGGCUACAUUCCUCUUGCAGCAGUUGAAUUGUAGACGGGCUGCAUUCCUCUUGCAGUAGUUGAACUAGGCCCUUGGACCCUUAUUCGAGACGUCGGAUAAGUGAAAAUUUGAGUUACUCAUGCGUAUGCAUGAAUGUAGGUCGGUAAUGGCUGAACUGAGUCCUCGUUGGAGCUCUUGCUUGAGAAUAGCCUCAGAGUGGUCGGGUAAGUCGGGCAACCUUGGGUAAAGGACAAAGUUCCUAACCUGUUUACUCUUGACUGGAAUUCAUGAUCUGAACUUUGAUAUUUCUGAAUACGGUGCGUUAAGUGAUAACUAACGUCUCCACUCCUGAAUACUUGAAUACUUGGGGCUCUAAGCCAUAUCUUGAAUAUCUGAAUGUCUGGGGCUAUAACCCCAACCCUGAAUUAGUUGGUUGAAUCGAGCCGACAAGGGCUUGAUUGAGGAGAUCGACGAACCUUGGGAACUUCUUUGACGUUCGGGCCCAGUAGGGGGAUGAUCAGUGGACGGAGAUUGAUGUUUGGCUAUAUUUAUGGAUUGUGUGAGCAUUGGAGGUCCAUGAGUGUACACAUUAAAGGUUGUAAUUGAUAUCGCUUUUAUUAUUGAGCUUAUUAUUUAUAAAUUUCACGAUGCAUGACUGAAUCCUGACGAGAGUUGUGCAGGCGGUCUGCCAAACCCUUGAAUACGCCCUAGGAGAAGAUGGACUAUCACACAUUAGGUGAGGUGGCUCCGACAAUGGUUUUACCAGUCAGUCCAGAGAUGUAGAUAAAGUCGGGUUCAGGUAGAGACAUUUUUUUAGUAGAUAUAAUAAAAGGUGUUCAGGAGCGAAUUGGUAAUUUGUCUCCCCGUGAUAAAUCAACAAUACAGCAUGUUAGGAGGGUGGCUUUACAAUGGAAACAUUAAAUUUUGAUCCAGUAGCUGAUGUUGAGUUGAUUGUGGAUCAGGGAAAGGAUGUAGAUGGAUUUCAAGCUGUUACCCAAGCCAAAUAGUGUGGCAUUCGAGUUAAAUUCCCUUCAGAUCAAAUCUUACGCUCUAUGUCAUCUUCUUCAAAUAAUUCUUUUUCUAUUUUGUGUGAUGAUUAAGAUGCUAUUUUGGAAUAUUAGGGGUGUUUCUCGUGCCCUCAAUUUAAAGAGACUUAGAAAGCUUAUUAAAUUAUACUCACUGCAAUUGGUGGCGAUCUGUGAACCUAAAGCUGAUUUAGAGAGAAUUGAUAGCAUUAGAUUAAAGUUGGGUAUGGAUUGUUGCAUUGCAAAUCAGUGGGGAUCCCUAUGGAUUUUUUUAUUAGUAUUCUUUUAGGUGUCAAAUGGUUGGAAAAUCCAUUCAACACUUUAGUCCAUAUGCAAUUUUUUUUCCUAAGGAUCGUGUGCUUCUCUGUGGUUUACGCUAAAUGUACAGUUUAGGAGAGGGAGAAUUUAUGGGCUGAUUUCUUGUUGGACAAUCCAACUGAUAUGUCUUUGGUUCAUCGUUGGUGAUUUUAAUGUAAUUGUGAGUGUAGAAGAAAAAAGAGGAGGCAUGCUUUUUGAUCUAAUGAAGGAACUGAUUUUCUCAAUUUUAUGUCCUUGGUGGGUGUCUGUGAUGCGGGAUUCUCUAGCUCGAGGCUUACAUGGUGUAAUAAUAGAUAGGGUCGAACUUAGGUAUAGAAACGUCUCAAUAGGCUUUUGCUAAAUUCCAUUACUACUUGUAUGGAGAGCAAUAUUUUGGCACAAUACUUGGGUAGGGACCCCUCAGAUCACUCUCCCCUUUUAUUGUUGGCAUCAACUAGAUUGGAUGAUAAAUCGAAGCCUUUUCAUUUUUUAAUGUUUGGGCCUUCAAAGAAGGCCUUUUGGACGUGAUUAAGGACAGUUGGUCGGAACCUUGUUCUGGUUAGCCAUUGCAUAUCUUGUCCGACAAGUUACAUCUUGUUAAACAAGCCAUCUGGACAUGGUCAAAAAAUUCUUUUAAGGACAUUUUUGCGUCAGUUCCGAACACAAAGCAGGAAGUGAUAGAGGCUGAGAUUGAAUAUAAUAUGUACUCGAUGGAUCAUCCUCUAGUUAGGCUGCAUGAAGUACGUGCCAAACUUAGGAGAACUUUGGUUAUUGAGGAGUUUUGGAGACAGAAGGCACGAGUUAAAUGGCUGGCUGAUGGAGAUUGGAAUACAAGUUAUUUUCAUGCAAUUGUAGCAGAGAGUAGGAAACAAGCUAUUAUUCAUCAAAUUCGAAAGGAUAAUAGUGAAUGGGUGGAAUUGGAGUCUCAAAUCUAUAGUGAAGCAGUGUCUUUUUUCCAAGAGCUUUUCACGGCAGAAUUUGCUUCUCCAUCAUAUGAUAUGCUGUAGGUGAUCCCGAGGAUAGUUAAUGACCAAGAUAAUUUGAUGCUAACAAAGAUCCCUUCAUUGGAAGAGGUAGAGAGUGUCAUCUUCUAGAAAAGGUGAGGACAAUGCAAUAGGUCCAAAUGAAAACAAGGGAAAAUUUAUCACAUUCGCAUGGGAGGUUAUUGUUGGAAAUGUCCACGCAACAAUAGUUAGUUUCUUCUAUGGAGCAAAGUUGCCAAGGAGCAUUUCUGCUACUUCUAUUGUCCUGAUUCCAAAGGUGCAGUGCUCCAAGACUUCACGUAAUAUCAGCCAAUAAGUUUGUGUAACUUCUAUUAAUAAGGUAAUUUUUCAAAGUUUUGUCAGAUUGGUUGGCUAAGAUUCUUCCACAUAUUAUCUCAUGCAACAGAGUGGGUUUGUUCAAGAAAGACAGAUUUCGGAUAACUUUUGGUUAGCCUAGGAGUUGUUGUCUAAUAUUCGAAAAUUGAACUAUGGAGGUGACGUGGUGAUAAAGCUGGAUAUGAUGAAAGCGUAUGAUAGAAUCUCCUGGUGUUUUAUUAUGCAAGUCCUUCGUAGAUUUAGUUUUAGUGAAACGUGGAUUGAUAUGAUUUGGAAAUUAAUCUCGAAUGUCUGAUUUUCAAUAAUUAUAAAUGGACACCCCUAGGGUUUCUUUAAGUCCUCAUUGGGUCUGAGGCAAGGUGAUCCAAUUUCCCCUGCUUUAUUUGUUAUUGGGGCAGAAGUACUAGCUAGAUCACUGAAUGAGUUGCUAAUGCAGCGAAGAUUUAAUCCUUUCAAAGUUCCAUUCAGUUGCCCAGUUAUUACUCGUUUAUUCUAUGUUGAUGAUGUGGUGAUUUUCACUAGUGAACUGAAGAAAUCCUUGCAGUUGUUGAUAGAGUGUUUUAAAUGAUUAUUGUGCAGUCUCAAGUUAGAAGAUUAACCAGCAGAAGAGCUACUUUUUGGUGCAUCCUAGCUUACCAUCUCAGCUUUAGGUGUUGAUAGGUCAAAUAACUGGCUUCCAAAGAAGGGUGUUUCCAAUCAAGUAUCUUGGGCACCUAUUAUAUAUUGGCAGAAGGAAGAAGGCAUUUUAUGCUGACAUAUGUACUUCCGUUGCCAAUAGAGUUCUGUCUUGGAAGCAAUGGAUUUUAUCAUCUAAGCGCAAAAUUUUGUUAAUCAAGAGUAUGUUAGCAUCAAUGCCGAUACACUUGUGGGCAGUGACAUCACCUCUAAAAAGGGUUUUUGGGGAUUUGGAGAAACUUUUUGCAGACUUUUUGUGGAGUUCAUCUGAAUUUGGUUCUGGAUUUCAUUGGCUAAAAUGGAGUGACUUUAGUCGUCCUUAUACCAAGGGAGGGAAGUGUUCGUAGCAUUCAAGAUGUUUUUGAUGCUUUGUUUGUUAAGCUCUAGUGGAACCUUAGGCAGAAACGUUUGCUUUGGGCACAAUUUAUGUCAUCAAAUACUGUGGGGGCUCACAUCCUUGUCUUGUGGAGAAAGGUCCUAUGCAUUCUUAUAUUUGGCAUAGGUUGCGAUCGGUGCAAGGUGUAGUGGAGGAGCAUGUUGUUGAAUUGUACGAGAAGGGUCGAUGGAUUUUUGGCAUGACAAUUGGGUGGGAGCAGGUGCAUUAUGUCAUAAAGUUGAGAUAUUUCAUGAGCAUCUAGUGGCAGAUUUUGUGUUGGAUGGAGGAUGGAAUGGUAGGAUGAUUCAUGAAUUUUUGGAGCCGGGAUAGCUCAGCAAGUUUUGAGAAUGGUGCCUCCAUCAUGUCAAGGCUCUGACCACAUGGUGUGGAUGCUGAAUAAUAAUGGCGUGUUUUCAGUUGCGUCGACUUACAAGCUCAUGAGAAGGUCUUCUAACUUUUCUCAGUUUAAUUCAUGUGUCUAGUAUGGAAAUCUUCCGAUUAAAGUUUCUUUCUUCAUGUUGCGGUUAUUGUCUUUUAAACUUCCUCUCAUGCAGCACUUGCGAAGGUUUGGAGUACAAGGUCCAUCUAAGUGUGUUUGCUGCCAGAAUCUUCCUUGUGAGGAGGAGGUUAAUCAUGUUUUUUGCACUAGUGAGUUGGCUCGACAAAUUUGGGAAUUUUUUGAGUUAUACGAUGAUGAGGUUUCUUCGGUGUGCACAGUUCGUCAUAUGAUUUUAAGAUGGUGGUUGUGGCCAUCAAAAACUAAGUAUUUGACUUAUGCUUAUCGCAUUCUCCCAUCGUUAAUCUGUUGGGAGCUGUGGAAGGUAAGGAAUAGUAUGGUUUUUGAGGGAAGGAGGGUUGGGUAUGAGAGGAUUGCGAGACAAAUUUUUCAGCAAUUGUGUGAGUUGUUUCAUACACAAUUUCCAGAUUUGAAAGGUCUAUUAUUUCUUGGCAAGAUUUUUAUUCUUUCUUGAUUGGUCAGCCGCAGAAAGUCGUAGUCGUUCUAGUUAGAUGGGUGGUCCGAUGAUGGGUUAUAAACUAAAUUCAGAUGGGUGUUCUAAAGGUAACCUAGGCUCAAGUGGUGGGGGUGGUUUGCUACGCGAUGUGCAAGGGAACUUCAUCUUUGUUUACUCGUGUUUCUUUGGCCAAUUGACAAGUUUUCAUGCAGAGAUUAAGUCUUUGCUUUUGGAGUUCAGCAAUGCCUAUCUCGUGGAUAUUAUGAUUUGCACAUUGAAACUGAUUCUCUUGUUUUGAUAAAGAUGAUUCAGGGGUGCUUUGCUUGCCUGUGGAGAUUGUAACAAGACCUAGAUGAGUUGAUGAAGUACCAGAAUCAUUUUUGGAUUAUCACACACUGUUACAGGGAUGCGAACGAGCCAGCUGAUAAACUUGCCAACGUAGGGGCUAUACUAGAGAUGGAUUGUAUUUUUGAUACUUUUGCGGUUCUACCUGCUAUGGUUCGUGGUGAAAUCAGGCUGGAUAGAUUAGGAUUUCCUAAUUUUCGUACAAGAACUCGAUGAUUUUUUAUAUUGUUUAUGAUUUCCUGUACCUUCAGGUUUAUUAAUAAAAUAGAUUUUUGAUUAAAAAAACCUUUUCUAUGAAAACAUAUAAAAUUGGCUGCCACCUAAAAAUGAUGGCACUAGCCACGCCUAUUUAAAAUGAUAGUAAAUUUUAAGUAUUUCCUUAGUCUGUGAAUUAUGAGAUGUACAUCAUUAUUUUUUAGAAUAUUUUUAAUAAUUUUGGAAACUUUUGCUGAGUGGGCCAUCAUGUGGAAUUUAGCAUAUGAAAUGAUAAUUAUAACUUAGUUAAUAUUUGAAAAUUUUAAAAUAUAGAUCUCAAAAUAUUCAAAAACACACAAAAAUAUUUUCUUUCUUUCCUUUUUUUUCUUCCUCUCCCACCUCAACCCACCACCAUCUCUGUCACCAGUAGUCGGCAUCGAUGUCGUCAACUGCUCUUUUUUCUCCUUUCCUCUCUCUCUCUCCUUCUCCUCCUUCUGUGACAAUCCCAUCUCUUGGUAGGGCGAAUCUUAGGGUAUCAGCGGACUGCCUGCCCAGCUCUCGCUAGGGUUCGGUCGAUCAAAGAACUAGCAACUCAAUAAAACUAAUGAAAUAUCUUCAAAACAAAGUGUGCAAACCCCUAAUGGAAACAUAAUCGCCACGCCAACUUUCCAAACUUAGAAUAUAGAGUUAAAUGUCAAACUUACCACUCCACACUUAUUUUACAUAACAUACGUCGAACUUAUAAAUUCAAACUUACAAGAGUCAAAAGUAAGGUCUUCUAAACAAAAGGUUACAAUCCAAAGUACAAGUUCAAAGCAAAAGAUAAAGCUAUGAAAGUUCUUGAUCAAAAGUCCAUCCUCGAUCUGUUAAGGAAAACAAAAGGAGUGGGGUGAGUUAAAACUCAGUGAAGUUCCAAAUAAACAUGUAAGCACAUAGUCAAUUAAAGGCGUAAUAUAAACAAGUAACUACCAUAUUGUACUAUAACGAUUAAAUCACAGUUCAAUUCAAGGAUAUGGGUGGCUUUCAAAAGCCAAAUCCAUUUGAACUUGAUCAUGACAAGAAUCCGUUGACUCUCCAUCAACGUUUGCGUUUAAAGAAUGUAAUGUCCGUAGAACACCACUUACUCUAAUUUUCAUCCACCAGUCAACCCCCUUACGGGGCCCGAACACCACAAACAGUAAUUAGGUAAUACUCGAGUAUACCGAAUCUAGAUUCAGUAAACAAUCUUUAGGGUUUAUCGGUUUUCUCGAUCAAACCCUUGCUGGCUCGAUACAAACGACUCACCUAUGAGGUUGGGUACCGAAACAGUCACAGUAGUUUAUGGGAUAUCAGCCAAACAUGUGACGCCCUCAUUUCUCCUUAGGGUGAACUCAAGAGUAUCAGCGGGAUGCCUGCCCAACUCUCGCCAGGAGUCGAUACAAUUUCAAUUCAAAAUUCAAGAAUAAUAACUAAUAAUAAAAGUCGAAGUAAAGAAAAGAAGUCGCUUCUAUACAUAAGUGUUCAAUCUUACAUCACAAGUUUCAAAAUACAUCAACUUUCUCAAAAUAUACAACUUCCAAAAGUCGUUUAAUCAAAUACAUUCAAAACCCUAAUCAAAAGACCAUCGAGUCGGCAUCUCCCCAAUUCUUUCCAUUUCAACUCAUGUUAAGGAAAACAAAUCUAAUGGGAUAAGCUAACGCUCAGUGAGGCCAAGAAAACAUGCAAGCACAUAAUUCAAGUAGCAAUAACAUUUAUACGAGAAAUAAUGCUAUAACAUUCAAGUAGUUCACAAAAUAAGACAAAGUACACUUGAUAAGGAUACGGGAGCUCUCAGGAGUUAGGUUCCACUUGCUUUGUCAAGUCUCGAGAAUAUACCUUCACGUGAUGACACUCCGUCACUCGGGUAGGUAUAUUUUGUUCGUAGAACUCCACUUUACUUCACAAAUCCCAUUCACGGUUACACUCCCUGUUCCGGGCCUGCUCAUCAUAUAAAAAGGUGAUUCUACUCGAGUAUGCCAAGCGAGAUCUUUUAAAUAGAUCAAGCUUACGAAUAUUCUCAUGGUUCACCAAGCUUCUCGAUCAAGCCUAUGCCGGCUCGAGUCACAGGGUUAGCCUAUGAGUUUGGGCGUCCCCCGAAUACGAAUACGAAUAUGAAUAUAAGUCGAUGAGCAACGCUUCAAUCGAUGAUUCCAAAUACGAAUCACAUAUAUGAAUCACAAAUACGAAUCACAUCCACAUCACUUCGCACAAGUCAAAUAUGGAUUCACAUAGCAAAAUUCGAAUAUAAUUUCAUUUGAAAGAGAACGAGUGCGGUAAAGUACACACUCAUCUCUAAAAUUCCAAAUUCACAUAACGGAUAAGAAGCAAGUCAAGUACUUAACAACAAAUUCAUGCACUUGACACUCACCAAGUCAAAAGUGAGUAAACAAGCAAAUAUGCUUUUAGAUGUCCGCUCCGAGAUUCUCUUGAAGAUUCUCUUGAGCACCUAAAGAAAUAAUGAUUUUCUAUUAUUUACAACCAUGCAUCAACCAAGGAUGAACGUACACUUGUUUAGAACAAAGACAAGGUCUCAAAAGUGAACUUUAAUCGCUCAAAAUCAAGAUUCGAAAGUGAGGAUGCAAAGUUUCAAGAGAAACUUGCCUCUCCCGUGAAAGCGGGUUUAAAACGGUUUAUCAAUAUCGAGGGAGGGUGACAAGUUCUCAAAAUUUCAUUUCCUAAGAACUUAUGAAGUUUCAACUUUGCAUGAUAACUUGGAAAAAUCGAAUCUUGAGUUUGACAUGUCUAAAAAUGAAAAAAUUUACACCGUUGAAAACUAGGUUCAAAGUACUAAAAGUCCCUAGAAGAUACUUUUCCAAGAUUCUAAACGGAAAGCAUUCAUUUUUUCAGUUCAAAGUUGCGGAUUGAACAAGCAAGACAGAAUCAGUCUUGAUUUUUGGCAAUCUUUGAAAAUUUGGUCAAAAUUCACAGAAAGUGAACCAGCUUUUGAAUUUGUAACAAAAUAAGAGUUUCAAACAAGGUUUCAAACACAACAAACUGAAUUAAAUUCGGAGUUUUGAGCAACAAGAUAUCACAACCUAAAGUCGGUUAAUUUCACUACUGCAACACUGAAUUUCCAGAUUUGAAAAGCCAUCUUUGGAACAUCAUUUGGAUAUCGAAAUGGUUUUAAAAUUACACCAAAUUUGGUAUACUUGAUCUUCCAUAUGAGGACUAAUUCUCUAUCAAAUUUUCCGCAAAAAAUACCACGAAAAGGCAGUUAACAAUAUGGCCAAAGUUCAUGAAAUUUUCAAAGCUAAUCUGCCAACCAUAGUUAUCUUUCUUUUUCAAACAUUUUGUUCAAUGAAAUCAACCCCAAACUACUUCAUUUUUGAAAUCAAGAUUCCAUAAACAUCUGAUGAGCAAUGGAUGGGUGAUUGACACCAAAAUUUUUGAAAUAUAACCUUUCAAAAUAGAUUUGACCAUUCGGCCAACAAGAAAGGAAAGAUUUCCAGUUUUCCAGUUUUGUUGCACCUUCGAAAUCAGAUCACAACUCACUCAAUACAAGUUCAAAUUAAGAAUCGUUUAGGGUGUUGUAAACUAAGUUCAAAAUGCUACAUUUUAUCAGAAAGGAUCGUUUCCAAAAUCAGUUCACAAGUGAGAGAAAAUAUAGCCACAAGAUGCAGCUUCUCCAUUCCUCUUGGACAGAGAGUCACAACAGGACAGUCAACUUUGUUGAAUCACUACGGUUCAUUCAGUCCGAACUAGCAGGUGAUUUUUAUACCGUUAGAAAGCUAUGAAUGUCUAGUUUCAAAUGCCACAAAUUUCACUCCAUUUUGACUUUUGCACAAAGAGAUAUGUUCAGGCAAAGAAGUAUUGUUCGACUGUCCUGAACACCAUUUCCAGUUUUCUUCUUUUUUCGAAAACCCUAGUUUUGAGCAACCAAUCAAAUGAAUUUUGGAAGACAUUUUGUACACACAAUAUACAACAUAUAUCCAUCAAUUUCACAGUCAACAAGUAUCAAAAAUUUCUAUUAAAAUAGAGAAACAUGACCAGAAAUUUUCGGCUAGCUCAAAUCCCACCAAUUCCUUCGGUUUCUCUUCAUUUUCUAACCAUAAUCCUCUCAUAUAACACAUGAACACAAAAUCAAGAAUUUUAAUCCUCAAUUCAACUACCUGUGAUCCACCUCAAGGCCGAUAACCUAAAGAUUAAACCGAGAAAUGAAAUUCCUCAAGUCCUCUAGCUUAUUUCUUGCUUAGGGUUUCAAACCCAUGCAAAACCAACCAUGAUUUCCUGAAGGAAAUGGAAAGAUUGGUAGGGUUCAAGGGUUACUUCUAACUCUAGAUGAGUAAUCAGAUUUUCCACCUCCUCCAAAAAGCUCCACUAGGUGAUGUCUUUCUCCAAGCUAGAGUGAUUCUCCAAGAACAAGAAGAUUGGAUGAAAUUUUUCUAGCAAAAUGGAAGCUUGAAAUGAAGUGUUUUCUUCUUCCUUUUCCUUCGCUGGUUUUGGCUGACCAAAGAGAGAAAGAGAGAGUGUUUUGUAGGCAUGAAUCUUGUCUUGGAAGCUUUAAGAAAUUGUGGCCAAGAAGCUUUGAAAAAGUCAACUUCAAAUAGUGUCGUGCGCGGGUUUCAUACCACCAUUUUCUCUCUUGUUUGUUGCACUUGUACACUGAACCUCCAAUAUAAUUCCUUUAACACUAUAAUUAUUCACUCUUACUAGUUUAAUAUAAAUUUAUUAAAUCUCCACUUAGCCACGCGGCACGAUUUUCGAGAAACUUUUGACGCGCGUGUGAUAAAGCGAAUUUUAAAAGAAAUUCAUGCAACUAAAAUAUAAUUAACUAAUAAUAGGGUAAAUAAUUAUAAAAAUGACUAUUUUAAGAAUAAAAACCUGAGUCCUUACAAAACAACUCAUAUAUAGUCAAAUAUAGGUAAGACUCGAGUAUACCGGAUCCAGAUUCAAUAAACAGUUCUCAGGGUUUAUCGGCCUUCUCGACCAAACCAUUGCUGGCUCGAUACAACCGACUCACCUAUGAGGUUAGGUACCCAAACAGUCACAGUAGUUGAUGGGAUAUCACCCAAACAACUCAUAUACAGUCAAAUAUAGAGAAAUCAUAUCUCAUGAUAGCAGUAUACAGAGUUUCAGUGAACUCAAAGGAGGUCGAGUGUGAUAAAGUACAUGUUGGCCUCAAAUUUGUCAAAAUAAUUGUAACAGGUAACAGGUAAUGGAACACUCACCUGUCAAGCAAUGCAGUGAUCAAACAUCAAGUCCUUUGGUUACGAUCACCUCCAUUUCCCAAUCCUAAGGUAACGAGUGAAAUCGUUAACAAUAUAGGUUCAUUUCCAACCCAAAUGUGAGCUCAUUAGGUGACCAAGUGAGUGGUUAAAUCUACUCAAUUCACCAUACAAGUUAGGCCCAAAAUGCAGUAAAAGGUCAUAAGAAAACAAGUUUGACAAGUGCAAUAAAGUUGGGCAAAAGAAAAUUCUCAUUCAAGUUCAAAGUCUACUUCGUGGGUAAAAUAGUUGUGCCAGCUCAGUCUAAGAAAAAUGGCCAUAUCUCAUUGUAGGAAGGUUGAAAUCAGGUGCCGUUAGUGACGUUGGAAACUAGACUCAUAGGGCUUUCCAACGGUAUCAAAUUCACACUCUAGUUUAUCUUCUAUCAAUACCAGUGAUCCAGGGAAAUCGGCUGAUUUUCCAAUUCUGAUCAGCCCUAAAACCCUAGCAAAGUUACACUAGUUCUUGUUGCUAACUUCAUUUGUUUUUGUUCAAAUUCAUCCAAAUCAAUCUCCUAGGGUUCAUAUACAGGGGAGCAAGUUAACUAGUACCAUUGGAGCUCAAAAUGCAACACACAUAAUUGAUUAAAAGAGCCAAAACAGUCUAGUCAACCAAAGGAAUCAAAACAGUCCACUACUUGCUCAAAACCACCACUUUAAUUGCUUCAUUUCGAUCUCAACUCACACAUAAACUUAACCAAUGUUUAGCCAAGAUUCUUAGGCUUAAUUAGGGUGCAAAUGAACCACAAAAUCAAGGAGAAACCUCCCCUUCCAAAACCAGUCAGCCAAGGGAAAGGAGAACAGUCCACUAGUUCACUUGUUUCACCAACUUUCAUCCUUUCAUGAAGACUAAAUUAUACAUCAUAUCAAGUGUUAUCCUUAACUCAAAAAGGAUCUAAAACAUGUUAAUUCAUCAAGUAAACCAUAAACAAAACUUUAACAAUUAAUCAAACACAUGGUAGGCUAAACAACCAACCCUACUACCACUUAUUUAGUUCAAGAAAUUUAACCACAAGUAACAUCCAUACAACUCCUAGUUUACCAUCAAAGCUUUAAAUACUUGAUAUAACACCAUAAAACCAAGAGUUAAGGAUCAUAUACCUCUUUUGUAACAAACUUGAAUCACCCAAAACAACCACCAAACCAAAAGCUCCAAAUUUGAAAUCACACACUAGGGUUGAAGGUUGAUCACUCAACUAACUCAAGUCCUUCACAUUUGAUUUUUGAUCAAGAUCAAUGUAAGAACCCGUAAAUUCCCUAAUAAUUUUUCUAGGGUUUUUCCCCUUUAAUGGCUUGUUUUCUGCAUUUUUUUGCUUAGGAAAAUUUUCCUUGUGAAUUUUAUGAGUAAUUAUAGUUUUUAGAUGAUUUUUCUAGUAUUGGAGAGUUUUUGAAAAAUUAAGAGUAUAUAAUGGACGUGGGACCCACUAGUGCGAAAAGUUCGAAAAAAUUCGGCCAAUUAGGUUAAAUUCCGGAUACUGUGUGAAAUUUAUCGGGUGUUAAGAGAUAAGUAGAUGUUGAGAUGUGAUUGAUGUGAGAGGGAAUAAACGGAUAGAGUUGCAUUUAUGAAGGUGACAAGUGUCACCUUGUGAGUGGUGGCACUUGUAGACAACUAUUCAUGGCUUUUUACCUUUUGACUAAUUGGUUAAAUAUCUCACAAAUUAACCAAAAUUCACUCUUUUCUUACCUCCUUGUGGCCGGCCCUCUCUCUAGCAAAGAAGGAAGGAAAACCUCUUCAAAGUUUGGCAAUUAUCUAGCUCAAUCUUCCAAAACCAAUCACAUAAACUAGUUUCUACUCCAUAAAAUCCCUCCCUUUGGUGCUAGUAAGUGUUUUUGUGGAAGUGUUCAAGGAAGCUAAGGUGUUCUACAACUCCUUUUCUCUUGUUUACUAGGUAAGUGGUGCUUGAACUUCCUCCUACACCUAAUGAUGCUUAAUUUGUGCCUAGUGGUGGCUAAAGUGCUGAAAUUUGUGGUUUAUUUCUUGGUUUGAGAUGAAUUGGUGAAGUUUUUAUUUUAUUGAUGAAUUUUCUGGUUUAAUGUGAUCAUGAUGUUAUGGUUAUUUAUGAUGGUUGGUAAUGAGGGGUAAUGACUCUAGUAGGUGUAAAUAAUUGGUAAUUGCAACCAAUUUUGGGUUUGGAAGGAAUUUGAGGAAGUUAGGGUUUCAUAACCCCCUUUUCUGUCCGGUUUUGUAUCAUAUGGUUAGAGGCCGAAUUGACCUUUGCUUAAAACAUGAAAUUUGUAGGUAUUGAUGUGUUUGAGGUGCCUGUAAAACUUUAGGUCAUUUGGAGUAGUGUAGAGUGAGAUAUAUCGAUUUUACUGUUGCUGUUCUGGGUUGAUCAGAAUGUACGAACUGCGCUUGUAAUCGUCUGUUUUGACUGGAAUUACUUUGGAUUUGGAUGUUGGUGUCUUCUGAUGAAAUGUAUCUGGAUGUCUUGGUUACCGCAUGCCUUUGGAAUCAAUACAUUUGGAUCUGUAUAGACUGAGUUGGACUAAUUACAGCAUAGUGUGAUUUGUAAACCUGCAAUUACGGUUCUGGUUUGGUAUUCUGCAUUUUUGACCUAGUUGUGCUAGGAUUUGGACUGAGUGGCCUUCUACAUUGUUGUAGCCCUGUCUUUUAGCUUCGAGAUGGUGGGUUUUACACCCUCAUCCGAUAAGCGUAGCGCAUUUUGUGCCAUUACCGCAUAAGGAGGCCAAAACUGUUUUGUUGUUAGGGCUAAUAUAGUUACAUUUCUUGAUUUUCUGGUUUGCUAUCAUGCUUAUAUAUGCAUAUGAAAUCCUAUUAGGGUUGUGAUUGGCAUGGCUUUAUGACUCGUUAUCGAGUCUCAUGGUAUUUGUUUACGUGUUCUAGGGCGUGACGUUAGUGCACGACGUACUUUGGACGGUGGUGCAUGAAACCUCACCUACGUGAGUGGUGAGUGCACUACUCACUUGAAUGCUUACAAUGUAGCUUUGCUAUAUGUGAUUGUGAUGCCUUGAAGGCUUAUUUGGAUAUUGGAAUUGAUUAAGGUAAGGGUGUACUUGACCGCCCUCACCCCUUUUGAUAGUAUUACUGAUUAUUUACCGUUUCACUGUAUUACUAAACUUGAUAUAUGAGUUAUUGAAUUCCAUUUCAUGGAAACCUGAUUUGGUGUCGUUUGGACGAAUAUCCAACGGCCUUACUGUAUUACUGAGCUCAACCCCGUCGGUAGUCACUUGAAUCGAGCCGGCGAGGGCUUGGUCGUGAAAAUUGACGUGCCACGGGGACUGUACUGGGGAAUCUUGUAGUAAUGAGACUCUCGAUUCCGGUAAACUCGAGUAUUACCAAAAGUUACUGAUUGGAGUGCGGGCCCGGUUGGGGUAUGUUGGGUGGAAGGAAUGGAAGUAAAGUGGGGUCUACGGUUUGGUACUUUUAACAUUGACGGAGGGUCAAUGAGGUUGGAUCAAGAAUAUAAGCGAGGAAAUGGGCUCUUGAGAGCCGUCCGUAUCCUUUCACUGAUUUGAUUUACUUCUUAUUUGCAUACUUGAACUGAACGGUUACGCUUAUGUGAUUUUUGAUGCUUAUAUAGUAGUAACUCACUGGGUUUAAGCUCAUUCCGUUCCAUUUGUUUUCCUUACAGGAAAAUGACCACUUUUGGAAAGGUUAUACUUGUUGGUUGUCAAGUUGAGCUUAUGUAAAUGUCUUUUGAAUACCUCUUUGAAUGAAACCCUAAUGUGUAUUGGGUUCAUUUUCUUUUGAUUGGCAAACCGAACCUGUAUAUCCAUGAUGAAUCAUUUUGAUAUGCUGUUUUGGCUUGUAAAUGUUACAUUCCAAUGUAUAUAUGUUUGGUUGAUAUUUGGUUGGAUUUCGGAUUAACUCAUAUUUCAAACGGCAAAGGAAAAUUUUGGCUACUCUCGGCCUAGUAUCCGGAUUCUGACGUGGCCGGUACUGUUCAUCAUCGGCUUCGAUUUUCAUUUUUUUUAUUUUGUGAUUUUGACUUGGUUGCGCGCAUUGGUAAGUUCCGGAACGUAUUAGAUUGACGUAAACUGAUCCGUAGUCCUGACGAGAGCUGGGCAGGCAUUCCGCCAACCCCUUUGGUUCGCCUUAGGGGAAGGUGGGGCUGUCACAGUUGGUAUCAGAGCCAGGAUCGCGUGGUCUCUGCGCGGAGUGAGACUGGGCCAAGUGGUGUUGUGGUCCUAAUUUGAUGAAUAUGUCUAAGUGCUCGUUUGAGCAUAAGUUAUGAACCGGGCAUGUGAUAAGUGUACGAAUCAUUAUCAUGGGACUCGAGGAAGUUAGGUAUGUAUGUCGGGUAGGAAUCUUUAAUAAGGAUGGUUUACUCUUGGGACCGGCCGGCUCGAUUUGUGAAUUAUCUUAGAUGGAAUUCUUGCGCCCGGAUACGAAAGAUAUGAGGGCCUAGGUUAGAAAGGAUUUGGUGAACUAGAAAGGCCAUUCCUCGGUGGAUCGUCUAUGUUUGUACUUAACUUAACUGGCUGUAUAUAUGUGUGUGGCUUAAUUUUGACCGGCUUGUAUAUAUAUGUUUUGAUCUUGUUUGGAAUGUAUAAAUGUGUGUUAUCAUAAAAGUUUUGAGUGUUACUUACAUGCAUCGUGCUUAUUUUGGUUUAGUAUUAUUUCCUAGACCAAGUAAAACUCAUGGAGGGUACACGGAGUGGUCGGGGACGUAGGCGCAGAACUAGACAACCCACACCGGUUAGGAGUACGGGGGAAACCUCUACUGGACCCAAUCUGGAACCGCAAGUAAACCCUAAUGUGCAAAUAGCUGCUGCUAUGCAGCAAAUGAUGGACUUGCUGGCACAAGUGGUGCAGCAACAGGGCCAAAACCCAAACCCUAACCCUGGAAACCUUGGUAACCAUAUCGAGGGCGAAGACAGAGCUCUUGAAUGAUUCCAAAAGUUUGCUCCGCCAAAGUUUGUUGGGGGACCCGACCCAGACGUUGCCGAAAGAUGGUUUGAAAAGAUGGUGGAUAUAUUUGCAGCCCUACACUACCCUGACGAACGGCAGGUGACUUUUGUCGUGUUCCAGCUUGAGGGGGCAGCUCGUUCCUGGUGGAACGUAAUCCGACAGAAAUGGGAAAGGGAGCAGACACCCAAGACUUGGGUGAACUUCAUCCGAGAGUUUAAUGCAAAGUUUUUCCCUCCUCUAGUCCAGGAGAGGAAGGAGGACGAGUUCAUUCGACUCCGCCAAGGAGCUCGAACUGUGGCGGAAUAUGAGAGCCAAUUCACCCGCCUAUCCAAAUUUGCGCCCGAACUCAUCAUGACCGAGCAACGAAGAAUACGGCGAUUUGUCCAGGGCCUGAACGUAGAAAUCCAAAAGGACCUCGCGGCGGCCCAAAUUAACGCCUUCAGCGAAGCAGUAGAGAAGGCACAACGAGUAGAGAAUGCUAGGCUCCAGGCGAAAAAGAGAGGAUUUCCUGGAAAUAGUUCGGGGCAGGGGGAUGAAAGUACCCCUCCCAAGUUUGGGCGGGAAACGGGAGGAGUAAGGAUGCCGGGAGUGUCACAAGAGAGCCCGUCAAGAGGAGGCUCGGCUUCUGCAGCACGCGGACCUUGCGGGUAUUGCGGAAAAUUAAACCACUCGGAGGACAAUUGCUGGAAGAAAGGAGGAAAAUGCUUGCGCUGUGGAAGUGCCGAACAUCAGAUUGCUAACUGUCCAACUCGCCUGCUUGAGCGGAGAGGGACUCUGCCACCAACCACGACCAACCCUGACCAGUCGAACUGGGACAAGGAUGGAUCGAAAGUGUCCUCUCGGGUGUACUCCUUAGAAUAACAUCAAGUUUUUGACCCAUUAGAGGACGUGGAAGGUAAGAAUUUAAUGAACCUGGCCAGUGAAAGGGUACAGAUCUGUUAGCUAAAUAUGAUGCUCAAUUUAGUCAGGAGAAGGAAGUACUAAAAUUUUUGUAACCCGGAGUAGCCAAUGAUAAGGAAUUUGGAGGACGAAAUUCUUUUAAGGGGGAGAGAGUGUGAGAACCCGUAAAUUCCCUAAUAAUUUUCCUAGGGUUUUUCCCCUUUAAUGGCUUGUUUUCUGCAUUUUCUGGCUUAGAAAAAUUUUCCUGGUGAAUUUUAUGAGUAAUUAUAAUUUUUAGAUGAUUUUUCUAGUAUUGGAGAGUUUUUGAAAAAUUAAGAGUAUAUAAUGGACGUGGGACCCACUAGUGCGAAAAGUUCGGAAAAAUUCGGCCAAUUAGGUUAAAUUCCGGAUACUGUGUGAAAUUUAUCGGGUGUUAAGAGAUAAGUAGAUGUUGAGAUGUGAUUGAUGUGAGAGGGAAUAAAAGGAUAGAGUUGCAUUUAUGAAGGUGACAAGUGUCACCUUGUGAGUGGUGGCACUUGUAGACAACUAUUCAUGGCUUUUGACCUUUUGACUAAUUGGUUAAAUAUCUCACAAAUUAACCAAAAUUCACUCUUUUCUUACCUCCUUGUGGCCGGCCCUCUCUCUAGCAAAGAAGGAAGGAAAACCUCUUCAAAGUUUGGCAAUUAUCUAGCUCAAUCUUCCAAAACCAAUCACAUAAACUAGUUUCUACUCCAUAAAAUCCCUCCCUUUGGUGCUAGUAAGUGUUUUUGUGGAAGUGUUCAAGGAAGAUAAGGUGUUCUACAACUCCUUUUCUCUUGUUUACUAGGUAAGUGGUGCUUGAACUUCCUCCUACACCUAAUGAUACUUAAUUUGUGCCUAGUGGUGGCUAAAGUGCUGAAAUUUGUGGUUUAUUUCUUGGUUUGAGAUGAAUUGGUGAAGUUUUUAUUUUAUUGAUGAAUUUUCUGGUUUAAUGUGAUCAUGAUGUUGUGGUUAUUUAUGAUGGUUGGUAAUGAGGGGUAAUGACUCUAGUAGGUGUAAAUGAUUGGUAAUUGCAACCAAUUUUGGGUUUGGAAGGAAUUUGAGGAAAUUAGGGUUUCAUAACCCCCUUUUCUGUCAGGUUUUGUAUCAUAUGGUUAAAGGCCGAAUUGGCCUUUGCUUAAAACAUGAAAGUUGUAGGUAUUGAUGUGUUUGAGGUGCCUGUAAAACUUUAGCUCAUUUGGAGUAGUGUAGAGUGAGAUAUAUCGAUUUUACUGUUGCUAUUCUGGGUUGAUCAGAAUGUACGAACUGCGCUUGUAAUCGUCUGUUUUGACUGGAAUUGCUUUGGAUUUGGAUGUUGGUGUCUUCUGAUGAAAUGUAUCUGGAUGUCUUGGUUACCGCAUGCCUUUGGAAUCAAUGCAUUUGGACCUGUAUAGACUGAGUUGGACUAAUUACAGCAUAGUGUGAUUUGUAAACCUGCAAUUACGGUUCCGGUUUGGUAUUCUGCAUUUUUGACCUAGUUGUGCUAGGAUUUGGACUGAGUGUCCUUCUACAUUGUUGUAGCCCUGUCUUUUAGCUUCGAUAUGGUGGGUUUUACACCCUCAUCCGAUAAGCGUAGCGCAUUUUGUGCCAUUACCGCAUAAGGAGGCCAAAACUGUUUUGUUGUUAGGGCUAAUAUAGUUACAUUUCUUGAUUUUCUGGUUUGCUAUCAUGCUUAUAUAUGCAUAUGAAACCCUAUUAGGGUUGUGAUUGGCAUGGCUUUAUAACUCGUUAUCGAGUCUCAUGGUAUUUGUUUACGUGUUCUAGGGCGUGACGUUAGUGCACGACGUACUUUGGACGGUGGUGCAUGAAACCUCACCUACGUGAGUGGUGAGUGCAUUACUCACUUGAAUGCUUACAAUGUAGCUUUGUUAUAUGUGAUUGUGAUGCCUUGAAGGCUUAUUUGGAUAUUGGAAUUGAUUAAGGUAAGGGUGUACUUGACCGCCCUCACCCCUUUUGAUAGUAUUACUGAUUGUUUACCGUUUCACUGUAUUACUAAACUUGAUAUAUGAGUUAUUGAAUUCCAUUUCAUGGAAACCUGAUUUGGUGUCGUUUGGACGAAUAUCCAACGGCCUUACUGUAUUACUGAGCUCAACCCCGUCGGUAGUCACUUGAAUCGAGCCGGCGAGGGCUUGGUCGUGAAAAUUGACGUGCCACGGGGACUGUACUGGGGAAUCUUGUAGUAAUGAGACUCUCGAUUCCGGUAAACUCGAGUAUUACCAAAAGUUACUGAUUGGAGUGCGGGCCCGGUUGGGGUAUGUUGGGUGGAAGGAAUGGAAGUAAAGUGAGGUCUACGGUUUGGUACUUUUAACAUUGACGGAGGGUCAAUGAGGUUGGAUCAAGAAUAUAAGCGAGGAAAUGGGCUCUUGAGAGCCGUCCGUAUCCUUUCACUGAUUUGAUUUACUUCUUAUUUGCAUACUUGAACUGAACGGUUACGCUUAUGUGAUUUUUGAUGCUUAUGUGGUAGUAACUCACUGGGCUUAAGCUCAUUCCGUUCCAUUUGUUUUCCUUACAGGAAAAUGACCACUUUUGGAAAGGUUAUACUUGUUGGUUGUCAAGUUGAGCUUAUGUAAAUGUCUUUUGAAUAGCUCUUUGAAUGAAACCCUAAUGUGUAUUGGGUUCAUUUUCUUUUGAUUGGCAAACCGAACCUGUAUAUCCAUGAUGAAUCAUUUUGAUAUGCUGUUUUGGCUUGUAAAUGUUACAUUCCAAUGUAUAUAUGUUUGGUUGAUAUUUGGUUGGAUUUCGGAUUAACUCAUAUUUCAAACGGCAAAGGAAAAUUUUGGCUACUCUCGGCCUAGUAUUCGGAUUCUGACGUGGCCGGUACUGUUCAUCAUCGGCUUCGAUUUUCAUUUUUUUUAUUUUGUGAUUUUGACUUGGUUGCGCGCAUUGGUAAGUUCCGGAACGUAUUAGAUUGACGUAAACUGAUCCGUAGUCCUGGCGAGAGCUGGGCAGGCAGUCCGCCAACCCCUUUGGUUCGCCUUAGGGGAAGGUGGGGCUGUCACAAUCAAACUAGGGUUAGAAAGUAUAAAAAUAGAGUUUUCUUUGCUUCUUUUGGAAGCUAAGGAGGUUCGGCCAUAAGGAGGAAAUAAGGGAGCCAAUAUGGCUUAAAUUUCCUCUAAUUCUUUGGUCAAAUAAGUUGGAUGGUUGGGGUUUUGCUACAUGGCUCAAUCUUGGCCAUUCUCUCUCUAAUCUUUGCCAAAUCAUGUUUCUAUCCUCCAAAUGUUUCCAUUGUCUUACUAACACCCCUAAACUAUCAUAUAAAGUCCCAACCACAAUAAAAGGAAUAUUUGGUCAUAGAGUAUGUGGUGAAAUAAAAUAAUACCAAGUCAAGGAAAUGUUUUAAUUUAAAUAAAAGAUAAUGAAAUGCAAUACAAGGGAAUUAUUAUAAUGCAUGUAGAAUGCAAUGCAAGGAUAGAUUUUAAGUGAUUUAAUUAUAGGGUAAGGCAAGUGAUUCAGGAAAAAUUUUGUUUUUAAGUGAGGGUUCUCACACCUUCUCCCCUCUCCCCCGCCACCUUCUAGCCCUUCCCUCUCUCGACCACCCUCCCCCUCCCCCCAAUGCGAUCUGGGUCAUGCGACCAAAGCUGAUCGCAUAACCAGAUCUAGUCACGUGACCAAGGAUGCACCGGGGCGAGAGAGAGAGUGGCCGGGGAAGGGAGGGGAAGAGGUGGCAGGGGAGAGCGGAGAAUGAGAGGAGAGGAAGGGAGAGAGAGAAAAAAGAAAAAAAGAGGGACUACCCUCCGUUGGUGACUGGUGGCCGAGGGGGAGGGAGGGAAGAGAGGAAAGGAAAGAAAACAAAAAAGAAAAAAAAAGGAAAAGAAGAGGGAAAAAAAGAAAGUUUUUUUGUUUUGUUAAAAAGGAAAGUUUUUACACACCUCAAAAUUUUUUUUUACAAAUUCUACAAUAAGUUAUAGUAAAGUUUUAGAUAAUCAUCUAAAAAACUCAUUUACCAAAUGAGGCCUAAGUUUAAAUUUUAGUUUCAAUAUUUGGUGAAAAUAAUGUCAUAUUUUGACUUUAAAAAGUGAAAAUUUUUCUUCUAAAGUGACAUCUAUGCAUAAUUUAAAAUAGGUCCUGGAAUAUGUAAUCUACUAAUUUUUAAGGGGCAUGUAGAUAGAGAAAGGAGCUUUAUAAACUCUAGAGGUGAAAUAUUGAUAAAAUGGAAAAAAAAGUAAAAGAUUUUUUAGUUGUGGCUAAUGGCAAGUACAAAUAUGGUGCAUUUUUUAAAAAAAUAUUCAAGUAUUUUACCCUACUAUAAUCAUUUGUCAAUCUUUAGGUUUGGGGAGGAAUGGAUUGCCCAACCUCGUGUAUGUAGCUCCCCUAGAUUCAGACUAUUCUAAAAUUGAAUAUUAUAUAUAUUUUACCAUCAUUUUUUUGUACUGUUAUGUUCAUAUUCUUUAUUGAGAAUCUAGUCAUACAGCUGCUUAUCCUUCACUUAGGAGAAAGUUCAUAUUUAAGGUAAAUUUAAAUAUUUAGAUGGGUUAAUUGCAGUGAAUCAUGUGGUGUGAGUUGGAAUUUACCUUUUAAUCUUAUUUUUUGUGCCACUUUGAAUUCUUCUAUAUGUGAACUUAAGAUCCAACUUACCUUAAACAUAAGUGUAAGGUUCUUUAUUUAACUUUCAAAUCCUCACCCUUAGUCUUUCUCCUUACAAGUUCUUCAGUCACUCAUGAACUCAUAAUAAUAAUAAUAAUAAUAAUAAUAAAAUUCUUCUAUUAGUCCACAUAUACAUUUUGAUACAAAUCUGCCCAAAGGUAUGAACUCGUAUCCCACACGGCCCGAAUCUAGACGAAGAAAUCAAGUUAAUUGUGGAAUAACACUUGACCCUUCUAAACCCUAAGAUUGCGAACCUUGAAUUGAAUUUUAACCCACAAUCGAAUGAUUUAGUGAACCAAUGUUGUUGGUAGAAGAACGCCACAACCAAGGUGUGUACUUGAUUGAUAAGUUCUAAUUGAAUAACUUAAGAAAUCUCUCAAAUAUUCAAGAAGGGCUCUCUUGGAGCAACAGAAAAGUGAUCACUCACAUAUUUUUAGAAAAUUCUCAAUAAUAAUAAACAUUGGAAAGACUAGGCUAUUUAUAGCCUUACAAUGACUCAAACCCUAAUGUGAUUUGGACUAAAAAUCCAACUAACAUUUGGCCUCUUUGAAGACUAAUCUGGCAAAAUAUUAACUCUAUAAUUAAACCACUAAAACAGCAACUAAAUUGACAAUUAAACCCUUCACUUGACACUACCAAUAAACAAAAUCACUUACUAACAAAACAACUAACUAAACUAAAUUGCUUCUACUCUUUAUGAAUGACAACAAGUUGUAGUAAAAUAACACCACUAAUUCAAUUUGGAAUAAUCUUUAUAGAUUUGGAAGGGAGCCGAUUCUUUAUGUUUGUAUCAUUUCCCUUGUGCUUAGAGAACAGCAACGUUGGGAAUAGAUGAAGGAUCACGAGCCAAGCUAUAUGCCUUUGGUCAGCCUCGGUUGCUUUCAAACAAAGACAUUCGCCAAGACAGGAACCAGCUUGUGUAUAACUUGUGGAAAUUCCAAGUUGCACUUCAAAGCUCUCUUGUCAGCCUUUGGUCAUGGAUUUGCACAUUGGGACUUUGAUUGUGCAAAGGUGUAAAACCCAUCACUAGUUGACAUUGAUUUGGAUCAUCUCACAUGGACAAAAUGGGAGUGUGACGGCCCCACUUCUCCCUAAGACGAACCAGAGGGUUGGCGGGCCGUCUGCCUAGCUCUCGCCAAGACUCACGCAAGCAAUCUAACCCAAAUCCUUGCGAAGAAUAUCCUAAACUAUUACAAUAUCGCUUUCCUCCAAAAUGGUCAAUAACCAAACCACAUUAACUUCAGAGAUAAUAGCAUUUCAAUAUAGCCAAUCGUCGACUCUUAAGAACCUUACGCGUUACAACCCAAGUCUAAAGUCAUACCAUCCCAAACAUACAAGUUCAUACAACACAAGUACGAACAUACAAGCCGAAUAUCUGAAUCAGGGAUUUCACCUUUCCAGCUUCAAGUGGCAAUCCAAAGCAUUAAGUACACCUAGCUUAACGUAUCUCCAAUCCGAUACAUGACAUAAGUAACAUUAGACAUUACAAAUCGCAAAGCGAAGUUAUAGUAUUCAUUUACAUCCAUAAGAAAAUCUAAGUAAAUUGUAAACCUCUCAAUUUCCAGAACCUGUCAAGGAAAACAAAUAUACACGGUGAGCCAAUAGCUCAUGAGGCCAAGAAAACACACAUGCACGCACGUUGUCCAAGUAGAACAAUAAGGUUCAAGUAAUUUACAAUUCAAGCAAGGCAAGUAAACAGAAACAAUUCAAGGAUAUAGGAGCUCUCAGGAGCUAUUUUCCACUUGCUUUGCCACGACUUGAUCCGAAACCCCCUCACGAUGACCCUCCGUUAUCCGGGUGGGUAUUAUAUCGGUAGAAACUUUACUUAUUACUCCCUCUGGCCAACAUUCCACCCUCUCGGAUCCGUAACCAAACACGCACGAAAAGGGCGAUACUCGUUGAGUAUGCCGAACGAGACCUCAAGAGAUCAAGUUUUGAUUUUUGAACACGCACGAAAAGGGUGAUACUCCACGAGUAUACCGAACAAGAUCUCAAAAGAUCAAGUUAUGUUUUGUUGUUCCCUUGGCUUAUCAAGCUUCUCGACCAAGCCCAUGCCGGCUCGAGUUGCAAGAUUGGCUAAGAGAAUUUGGGCGUCCCCAUAAGUCGAGGAGUUUCACUCCACCCGACAACACAUCACGCACGACAUGCAUGGCAAGCAUAACACGCACGACAACACGACAUGUACACGAAAACGGGUAUAUUUUAGCCGACGAGGUUCACUCAAAUCGACUUCGAAAACCAAGUUAAUACAAGUAAAGUUCAAAUAAAGGAGAGCGAGUGCGAUAAAGUACACACUCGUCUCAUCAAGUGAUAUUCACGUAUAUAAGCAGGUAAACCAAGUAUACACGACAAGUCAUGCACUUGACACUCACAAUUCAAGAGUAAUUGAGCGAGAGAAUCAUUAGUUGUCCCCUCCGGGAUUUUCUUCAAGACUAGCUUGAGCACCUGAAGCAAUUGACAAGUAUUUUUCACUCAUAAUCACGCAUUAAUCAAGGAAGGAGUUACACUCAUCCAGACUUGUCACUACCUCAAAUCAAGAAGCUUAGCCACUAAAAAAAAAAUAAAGGUUCAAAAGUGAGGUUUUAUUAACACAAGAAAAAAAAUAAUUUCCUUCAUGGAAUCAAGUUUAAAGUGACCAAUUAUCAUUAAAAAGGAAUAACGGUUUUCAAAAUUUCAUUUUCUAAGAAAUCGGCAAAUUUCAGCUUUGCACGUCAAACUUAGAAAAAUCAAAUCUUGUACUCAGUAGGUCCAAAAUUGGAAAACUUGGUACCAUUGGAAACUACUUCCAGAGUAUUAAAAGUUCCCAGAAGACACUUUUUCACAAGUGUAAGUGAAAGGCACUCAAAUUUUUGACUCAAAGUUGGUAACUUGAAUUACCAAAAUAGAUUUAAGUUGGUUUUUGGCCAACUUUGGAAAUUCGGUAAAAUUCACUUGUUUGGAACUAGCUUUUGAAAUUUGGUACUCUUUUAGAGUUGCAAUCCAAGAGUAUAACAAAAUGAAACGGAAUGAGAAAUGGAGUUUUGAAUAUUAAGAUAUGGCAACUCAAAGUUACCAAGAUUCCCUUGUGAAACAUGGGUUUUUCAAGCUCGAGUCAUGAACUUUGGUAAUUUAUUUGACCCAUGAAACGGUUCUCGGAAUAACAUCAUAAGUGGCAGUAUAAAACUACCAUAUAAGGGUUGUCCCUCUACCAAAUUUCAUAGGAAAAUAUACACGGGAAGUCACUUAACAAAAUCACUCAAGUUUCCAAAAUUUUAAGGCAAAGCUGCCUUGUAUGUGAAAAUUUCCUUUUCUAAACUUUUGACCAAGGAAAAUCCUCUAAACAUGGUUCAUUUGCAUAGAAAAGGUUUAAGGGUCAUCCCAGAACAACAUUUGUGGUGAUUAACACCAAGAGAUUUAAUUCGCAAGUCUACACCGAGCCUUGCAUCAAAUCUGUCCAAAAAUCAGGGUUUUCAAGGACAGAGCAGGUUUCCUAUUUUGAUCAUAGAUCACUCAAAUUAACUAGGAAUUUCGCAUGGUUUAUGGCGUUGGAAAACACAUUCAUAGAGCUAUAAUUUCACAGAAGAAAUUACUUUGAAAUUCGGCACACAACUAGCUCGAAUUCGAGCCACAAGUUGCAGCCUCAUCAUUUUGUUCUUGUAAAACAGAGAAACAGGACAGCCAACUUAAAAUGGUUGGUUCGGCUCACACACAUGGAACCAGAAUGUGCAUUUUAUACCGUCGGAAAGGUUGGGAUGUCUAGUUUCAAAUGCCACUGAUGGCACUUAAUUUCGACAUCGGAGCACAGAUUUAUAGCCGAAAUACGGAAGCUGGUCAGAGUAUUACGGAAACAAUUCCAGAUUUACUAGCUUUGUGAAAUCAUUUUAUUUGACCAACCAAAUCUCAAUAUUUUUCAAUGAAACUUUGUACACCACAUAUUUAACAUAUAAACAUAAUAUACGAGUCAUGAAACCCUCAAAAUUCUACAAAAAGAGGUCCGAUUAAAACAGGGCAAAACUGAACAUUUUUGAACUAUGCCUCACUUGAAGUCUAGACUAGCUAGGUAUCUUCAAUCUACUUAUUUAAACACUAAACUAGCAUUAUAUUCAUCAUCAAUCAUUUCAUCAACCAUCAAUUCAAGGGUGUGAGUUCAUAGAGCCCACCAUCAAAAUUUUCCAACGUGAAAUAAAACGAAUAACAUGUAAUUUUAGCAAAUGGAUCCACCACAGCAAAUCUGUCAUCGGCUAAACAAAAUUUCCAGCAACUAAAGUGGUCCUAACACCGAACUUCCUUGAUUAAAUCAGUGGAUUAUGUACUCAAAUCCAACAUGCAGAUGCUUGACCAACUGAUUAACAUUUCUAGCUCAAAAUUAAGUUCAAACACGGCUAUAAUUAUCUCCAAAAUUCGAGAAAUUUUCCAGCUAUCCUCGGAUGAUCAUGCAUGCAGCAGAUUUAUAUUUCAUUUUAUUUUCUGAUUUAAACCCAUUAAUUAACUACAUGCAGAGCUUAAUUAUCUUGUUAUUAACUAGUUAAUCAUGAUGCUAAGCUCAAAACAACAAAAUUAAACCAAAUAAAGCUGCAUUAUUCAAGUCAAGUUCUCGGCAGUCCAAACUUGCGCACAUAACAGAAUUUCUUUUCCUAAACCACUCAUCCGGAUGCUUAAAAACAACAUGCAUGUUCCUAGAUGGCUUAAUCUACUUGUUUUUGAUUGGUUAAACACAUAAUUAAGCUCAGAUUGUCACAAGUAAAUGAAUCAAGAGCUGCAUUAUCAAUUCCUCUCUCGGCCGAAACAUUUUUCUUCCAAACAGAUUUUCCUUUUCUUCCUCAUUUCAUCAUCCGAGCAUAUAAUCCUCACAUGCAAGUCCAUAGCUUGCUCAUUCAACCUCUGAUUAACCAUUUUCAGUCCAGAAAAUUUACCUCACCCAAGGCUCACUUGCGCGUCAAGGAAGCUGAAGUUUUUUCCUCUCUCGGCCUCGCGUACAGGUUUGGUUCUGGUUGAAGCUGCAGCUGGAACUGAUGAAAUGCAGCUUGAUUGAAGUUGAAAAUGACCACAGCUAGGAGAGGGAAGGGUGUAGGAUCGGUUGUUCUCACGCGGUGGUCUCCUGGUUUCUUCCCUCAGCUCGCGGACAGAACAGAAAAUUUUUGCAGCUCGCGGUUUCUCCUCUUUUCUUUCCUCUUCGAUACUCACGAGGUAAGUCUCUCUCUCUCGUUUGUUCUUGGUCCGAAACAGAAUGGAGUUGUGGAGUGGAGUUGCGGUUUUGAGGGAGGUUGAGUGUAUGGGAGGAGAAAGGAAAUGUAUCCGGCAGUAAAUGGAAAUGGUAUGCGGCAGAAAUGGAAGUGUUGAUUCUCUUGUGAUUGGCCGAAUGGUGAGGUGAUUGUGAUGUUGUCCGAGAAAUUUGUUUUGUGGCUGCAUGAUAAUUUGUGAGGUAGUGGAGGGUAGUUUAGUCAUUUCACUUGUCCUCUUAACCUCCACUUAAGUCCUUGAUUCUAACUUAAUUCCAAAAAUUAUCCCCAAUUGUGAUUUGGAACGCCUAAUCAUACACUAAUCUUACAAGACUUUAAUUAUCGAAAUUUUCACGCCUUAAGUAUGUUUAGUAUACUAGUAUCAUGUUUAUCUAAAAUUCAUUGGUUUUCAUCUUAACUCGAAAAUUCCUAUUAGCACUUAACGUUAUUAACUAUUUAAGUUAAUUAUUGAAAUUCGAAUAAUUUAUAUCAAGGUAGAAGAAUUAAUCCGCUCAAGCAAUAUUAAUUUAGCAUAAUGGAAACUAAGUACUUUAAUAUUUUAUGUUGAGGCGAUAAAAUUAUCCUAACUCCAGAGGUAUUAAUUUAGUCUAGCAAAACCAAGAAAUUUUCACAACUUAGAAAAAUUAUAUUAUUUUCAGGGUUCCCACAGGGAGCAACUUAUUGCAUGGAUGAGGCACUAAACAACUCGUGAAGGACAGCUUUGGAAUUUUGCGUGACACACAAGUUCUCAUCUUUUAACAUAUGAGUCAGCAAACAAUUGAAUUCCCCUUCAUGAGGGUUACUCGAACUGGCACAAAAUGAAGUUGACAAAUUGAACACUUGGCCACCAACUUUUGGACGUGUGAAUAAGCAUGAAAGAUCACCACUUUAGCUGGAAUAAGCACUAAAUCUAGUUGCAAGUUUUUCAUCAAAGCUAAAAAAUUUUGGAUAGCUUUACAACCUACGAGAAUAAAAUAACCUUCAACUUGAAACAAAUCAGAAAUUGGAUAAAGAAGCAAAGGAACAUCAUUAGCUAAAUGGAAAGAAGGUAUAGAACAAGAUUUAAAUGCGAAAAAUCCUUUUGACACUUCAUCAUUCGUUCCACAAAUUGAUUCAACUUGAGGAAGCAUUGCUGGCUUUUUACACUUUCCUUCAAAAUCUGCAUAAGAAAUACAUGUGUUAGGAUGGAAAUUAUGCUCAAAAGAAGGUAAAGAUGAUGAAUGAACCAUAGGUAGCAAAUGAGAAUCAAAAUCUAGAAUUCCCCCUUCAUGGUGAGGUUGAAUUAAUUCCCCAUUGGUAUGGACAGAUUUGAAUUGAAAUUGUUCAAUGAAGUGAUCCCAAAUAGAUUUAACUCCUAAAAGACAAACUCCAUGGAAACUAAUGAAUUGUACAAGUGACUUUGGAAUGGAACAUGGCAUGACUAACUUCACUUGACGUUGCUUAAUUUUCACAAAAGAAGAAACACUAAACAAAGGAAAGGUAAGCUGGUUAGGAAAGCAAUAAGAUCGCACAUUCUCACUCAAAAGUAGCUCACUUGAUUUUGCACUCAAUUCAUCAAAAUUUCCCAUCUCUUUUUCUAGCUCAAUGCCCUCGAUUGUUUCCUCAUUAGCAACCUCCUCAACAAAUGGUUCAAUAGGAUGAGAUACUCCUUUGUUAGGAGUAGACUCGGCUACCUCCUCAUUAAAAGACUCACUUUGAUGGCAUCUAUUUGACUCCAUUUGUUUUUUGUGUAGAAGAUGUUGAUAUGUCUCCCAAAAUGACUCCUCAUGAGAUGGUUCAACUCUAGGUUUAGGCCUAGGAGAUGUUGAAUGAACCUUCUUAUCACCUCUUGUAUAAAUCGGCUUUAAAGAGGUAGAUUGCAUGGAAUCCCUCCCCUUGAGAGAUUCAUUCUCACGCUUAGGUUUAUGUUUGUAUUCCCUCAACCUUUGUUCCCAAUCUUCAAACUCGGUGUCCACAUUUGAAUCACUAAACUCAUUUAAAGGUUGUUUCCCUCUAGAUUUCUUAGGGGAACUCUUUGAUGAAUCCAAAUGAUCCAUUCGCUCAUGUAGGGAUUCAAUGUUAAGGUCGAACCUCCUUUGAAAUUCUACCCACAUAGCAUCCAUUUUUAGUGCAAGUUGGGCAAUGGUAACCUCAUUUUCAUUCGCCAUGUUUAAACCUGCAAAACAACAAACAAGUGAAUAGGAAAACACCUCACUCACGUGUUUCACUCAUGCUCGUGUAUCACUCAAGUGUAUUUUAACACUCUAGUGAUCUCACCAAUCACUUCUCAAGUCUCUUGAUUGCCUCUCUUGAAGAAAUCAGAAUUUUCUGAAAGAGAUUCAAUCAAACUUUCACCAAGCUUCACCAAGAAUGUAGCGAUUAUGGGCUGGAGUUUCUGGAGGGUAGUAGCUGAUAUAUAUUGACUUGAAAAGGACUAAAAACGAGCUAGAAAUUGACCAGGUUUGGCCGCUAGACUCAAUAUUUGGAAACUUUUGGACCUUGACUAGUGACUCAAAUUAGGAAACUAGGAAAUUAAGUGGAAGCCAAGACUGAUUUGGACUACCUUUGUGACCCUUUAGAUGCUAUUUAUAACCUGGAAUGACACCUUAAGACACAAUUUAGGUGGCUGGACAGAUUACACAAACGACCAAAACAAAAACAAGGGAACGACAGAAAUUUUGGAAGCCUAGAAGUUACUCUACCUGAAGUGCUCCUUGGCUGGUGUUUUGGAAGUUUAAUCAAGGUUCUUGGGUUUGUUUUUUGGAAAGUAGCUGCUGAUUUGAGAAGGUUUUCACGUGUGCAAGGAUUUGACAAAUUUGAAUUUGGUAGUUGAGUGUGACUAGGAAUUGUUUUCAAUCCCAAGUCUACUUGGUUUCCCAAAAUCAGAUUGCUUUCUUGUUUUUACUUCAAGAUUGAUCCGAAUGUGUUUCUUUCUUUUCUUGCGUUUCUUCUUUAUUUUUUUCCACACAAAACAGAUUUGUCCUUUUUUUUCACUUUAGAUCAAGGCUCAAAGAACCAGAUUCGGUCUCAAGUUAUGCACAAGAUUAGUCUCAACUUCCUUUGUUCAAGAACAAGAACUAAGGUUUGUCCAAGGUUCAAGAUUUGAUCAACUUUGAUUUCAAGAAUUCAAGAACCCUAGAUUGUCAACCCAAGACUUCAAGAUUUGUCCAAGAAAUUCCAGAAAUUCAAUCAUGAAACUUCAAGACUUUGGUGUACUUCCAAGAAACAAGAGAACCAACCACUUAUGAUUCAAGAAACACAAAAUCCAAGUUGUCAAGAAAACCCUAGAUUAAAUCUCAGAUUUUCCAAGAAAAACAAAGACCAAAAAAUUUUUUUUGGAUGAACAGUAAUGGUGAAUAGUAAGCUAUAGUAGCGAUGAACAAUAUCAAUUUUUUUUACUCUACUCGAUUUCAAGACUCAAGAACAAAAUCACAAGAACCAACAAGAUCAAAACACAAUGUAAAUAGAUUUGGAAGUUCAGGCAGCAAGCAACAAGACACAAAACAACAAGGAAAACCACGAAAUCCUAGUGACUCUAAGAGUGUAAGACACGACCAGAAUUUAUAACAAGAAAAACUUACUUGACACGAACAAGAUAUACAUGAAUUCGUCAACUAGCUCUAAUUACCAAGCUGAUACGAACCCUCGAAGGUGUGAACUCGUAUCCCACACGGCUCGGAUCUAGACAAAGAAAUCAAGUUUGCGAAAUAACACUUAACCCUUCUAAAUCCUUAGAUUGCGAAGCUCAAAUUGAAUCUCAACCCACAAUCGAAUGAUUUAGUGAACCAAUGUUGUUGGUAGAAGAAUGCUACAACCAAAGUGUGUACUUGAUUGAUAAGUUCUAAUUGAAUAACUUAAGAAAACUCUCAAGUAUUCAAGAGGGGCUCUCUUGGAGCAAAAGAAAAGUGAUAACUCACAUAUUUUUGAAAAUUCUCAAUAAUAAUAAACAUUGGAAAGACUAGGCUAUUUGUAACCUUACAAUGACUCAAACCCUAAAGUGAUUUGGACUAAAAAUCCAACUAAGAUUCAGCCUCUUUGAGGACUAAUCUGGCCGAAUAUUAACUCUAUAAUUAAACCAUAAAACAGCAACUAAAUUGACAAUUAAACCCUUCACUUGACACUACCAAUAAGCGACAUCACUUACUAACAAAACAACUAACUAAACUAACUUGUUUCUACUCUUUAUGAAUGACAACAAGUUGUAGUGAAGUAACACCACCAAUUCAGCUUGAAAUAAUCUUUAUAGAUUUGGAAGGGAGCCGGUUCUUCAUGUUUGCAUCACAUUUGGUUGUGAAAUGAUAUCUGAAUCUUGAAAACCGCCCCUACUACCUUUUGGCUUUAGGUGAAAUUUAUUCUCGUAAACUAUAGUUGUUUUUCAUUUAUUUUUUUCUCUUCUUACUCUUUUUAUUUCUUUAUCUCUCUUCUUUUAUCUAUUUCUUAAUCUUCAUUGUCCAACUCUCUUUGGCCACUUCCAAGCUAUUAUAGUAUCACCAAUAAUUGAUCAAUCAGAAGCUCUAGUUUUAUACAUGUAUCUAAAUAAUCUAAGUUUUAGAUGUGUGGUUUGUGACAUAAAUUACGAACUAACAAGAACCUACGACAAAAGUAACACAAGAUUGCAUGAUUAAUUAUUAGUAAUGAAAAUUAACAAAAAAAAAUAUACAACAAAUCAAAAGAAUGAGUCAAAUAAACUUUAAAAUGCUAGAUUCCUAAUACAAUAAAUAAACAUUGUUUGUAUAAAAUAAUUUUUAUUUUAAAAUUAAAAUACUUGAAUAAAAUUGUAACAAUUAAUGCUUCUGAUUAAUUAACUAUUAAUACUAAUAUAUUCCUUAGUUGUGUAAGAGAGAAAGAGAACAACAAUAAAAAAAGAAAUAAAGAAUGAGAGAGAAAGGAAAUGAAAUGAAGAAGAAGGGAGAAAAAAGAAAAUGAGUACAAAGUGUAAAAAUCAAAAGGCAAUUUUAUUGGAAAGGGUUUAAAUGACUUAUAAAAUUCAUUUGAGAGGAGCCGUAAAGUGCAACAACAAUGAUAAUUCAAGGGAUCAAAUUACAAUUAACACCAACUCCUUUCGUGGGUAUAUUCAAAAAAAAAAAAGAAUUGAAUCUCCUUCCCAAGGGUAUUACACUUGGAUAGACUACAUUUUCAAAGACCUAAUGGCUCAAAUUGUGCUACAUCAUUUCACCAAGUGGUAUGGCACAAUCUGAGAUAUUAGGUUUGAAAACUGAUUCUACCCAAGUUUUGGCCAUAUUUGCCUUCUAAUUGCUAAAUGAAAUAUUUUCUUUUCACUAAGCGGUUAGUGAAGCCAGUUAAGCUACGGAGAUGUGGUGUGCUACAAUUGAUACCAAACAUUGAGUAAACUACAAUUGAUACCAAAUGUUGGCGGUGAGGGGGGAAUACUACAAUUACCCCUCUUUAGAUAGAUAGAUGAUUUCUUGAUUCUAUCAAAAUUAUCAAGAUUUCAGUUUGGAUCGAUCCACCUCAUUAUGUACUCUCAUAGUGGUGGAGCUAGGACAUCAUGAUGAGAUGGUGCAAUGGUCAAUUUUAGUAUAAAUCAUGCUCUUAAAUUUAUAUAAGAAAUACACUAUGUACUUUGAUUUGAGUGGCCAAAUCCUUUUUCCCCAUUAAUGUGUCGUCAAUGUUUAAUUUAGAAUAAGUUCAAAAUUUUUGUUAGAGGAGGUAAUCAAUAAAAAAAUAUUUAUAAAAAUCAAUAAAAAAAUCUUAUUUUCUAGGGUUCCAAUGUAUAAUGAGGAAAUAUAUAGAUGUUCAGAGGAUAAUCUAUGUAUAGAAAGAAAUUUUUUAAAAUCUAGGGGGAGUAAUGCAACUAAAGAAGAAAAUUUUAUAAAAUUUAGGGGGUGAAAAUAUAAUACAAACUUAAAAAAUUUUAAAAAGUUUUAAGAUCAAUAUAUAAUUUUAUCAAAUUUGAGAGAGGAGGGGCAAUUGCCCACCCUCAAAGUGGCUCCGCCGCUGUACCCUCCACCACUUAGCUAGGGAACAACACAUCCAUGUGAUCAUAAGGAUUCCGUUUACAUGCAAUUUCUAGGGCAUAUAUAUAGGACAUCCCUUAUAUUUUUGUGAAAAACUCUUGAGCUCCCUCGUAGUUUCUCAGAUAAACAUCACUUCACUUGUAUAAAAAAAAAAAUUGCAAUUGUAAUUCUUACCAUUUGGACACUUUACCAAAAUAUUCCCCAAAGUUUUACCGAUGACAUUUUUUAUUGCUAAAGUUUUCAAUUUUUAUCAUAGUGCUCCCCAGAACUUGAACGAAAUAAAUUUGGAAUAAAAUUUUCUCAAAUUUGAACAUAAAAAGACAAUUCUAAAAGAACUUGGCAAAUUGCUGCAACAAUAAAAUAAAAGACUUAGGAUCAUCCAAGGUUCACUUUUCAUUGUUGUCAAAAAAAAAAUUCAAGUUUUGAAGAAAAAAUUGGAAAUUGGAAGUUCAACUUCUAUCAGAAUGGAAAUGAGAACUAGCUGAAGAUUGAUUUAUAAUGGAACUUGAAGAUAUCAAAUUAUAUUCAUUAUUUUGAUUGGGGUCUACGAGACUUUCAUAUGACUAUCACCGUUAGCAAUUACCCAUAGUCUUUCAAUUGUUCAUUGCGUUUUGAAAUUGGAAGUAUCACCGACCAAAUUCUACUAAUUGCCCAUUUGUUGGCAAAAAAUGAAAAGCAUUGUCGACUAGAUCACUUUUCACUAAAACAUCAGCAAUAAUUGUAGUGGGGUACCAAAACCUCAAAAACUAGGAUGGUUAAUCAAACUUUGCCCCCACCGAACAAAUGGGUUAGCCGUACUAUAUCACCCUCAAUUUUAGGUAUAUACUCUUUACCCCGUCAAGUUAUUAGAGUUAGCGAUUUUUAAUGGAGAGGUAUGAUGUCCUCUUUUUAUGUGGCUGGAAUACCCUUGCAGGGUAAAGUGCAUAACAUAAAUUUCUAUGAUAAUAUAAAGUCUAACCGCAUAGAAACAACGGAUAAUUGCAAAAACCUCCUUUGAGGCUUCUAAUAGUUGCACUCACCUCUUUGAGGUUUUGAAAAUAGCACUAACCUCCCCUAAAUUUAAGGUUUUGAUAGCAGAUUCAGCCUAUGUCAAAGAAAAUACCAUUACAAAAAUCUUUUGAGAAGUGAGAUAAUAAUUUUGUUCCAUUUGUACCCUUUUUGUAUCUUGUGAGGUUGUGAUAGUAAAACAUGGAAAUAGUUAGUGAAACUGAAGAGGAUAUAAUGGCAAAGAGAGCAAGUGUAGUAGCAAUAACUAGAAGAAGUAAUGAACACACGUUCAAAAAUCUGAGGUUCUAAAGCAUAUAAAGUGUACAAUCAGCUCCAAAAACUCUCCUUUACUAAAGAAACAUUUUGUAAUAAGUUGAAAUGACAAAGGAUUGCUUACUUAUUGUUUUCUAAUUGCCGCAAAUUUUUUAACAAAAAAAAUUCUUAGACUUUGCCUUGAUUAAUACUUUCUUUCUCAUUCCGUUUCAUGAAUGCGUAAGAUAAAGUGAGUUCAAUCAAAACCACCAGAACUUAUUCUCAUAUGGAGUUUUGUCCGGAGGUUUCUUUCCCCUACUUUUUUUUUUGCUUCUGCUUCUCUUCUAUGUAAAUAAUAUACAACUUGGAUUGUUCUCUCAAGUAUUGUUAAUGACAAAAUAACGUCAUAUUAGAGUAUCAAUUGGUGCCAUUUUGUGGCAAUUGACGUUUUGUAAGUGCACUUAUAGUGUCUAAUCAGGCAAGAAAUAACUGUUAAUCUUGUUUAAUUAGUUAUCCUGAACUUGUUUAUUGCCCUAAUUUUUUUUGCCCCAAACUUGUUUACUAACAACCUUAAACUCUAAGGAUAUAUAAGUAAAUUCACCCUAUCCUACGUCAGUUAUAGGCCCCAAAUUCUUGUUGGGGGAGGAUAGUGCUUUUUCAAAACCUCAGAGGUGGUGAGUGCAACUGUCACAAACCUUAGGGGAGGUUUCUGCAAUUAUCCCUAGAAACAAUAAGGGGUAUAGUGCAAUUAAUCUACCAUUUUCAACAUUUCAAUUUAAUAAAUAUGAACCAAUUGUACAGUUAUAAUGUUAUUUAUAAUGCUUCAAGCCAAUUUACAUUUUGAUAGUACAAAUUCUCAUAGAUUUGUGUGAAAUAAAUUUCAUAGAAUUCUACUACAACAACAUCAUUUUAUUAAAAAAAAUUAUGAAUCUUAUUUUUAUAAUUCUACUUUUUAGAUAUAACUAGUACUGGUUGCCUUUGUUAACUUUUGUUCACAAUAAUUUGUAAUAACCUCAUUUACCAUAAUGUCUUUUGAAAUUUUUAAUGUUAGCCUUCAAAGAACAACUUAGGCUCCGUUUGAUAACACUGAAUCUGAAUACUGAAAUAAUUAAUUUGCUGAAAUUUAAGUACUGAAAAGAGAUAUAUGAAUGUCUGAAUCUUAAUGCUGAAUCUAUUUAUACUAUUUGAUAAAUAAUCAUAACUUAAUGCUUAAUAAGCUAAAUUGUACAAUUUUGCCCUUCUAUCUUUUAAUCCAAAAAAGGAAAUAGAACCUAUGAUUUAAUUAGCUUAAAAUUGUUAGGUAUGAAAAAGACAAUAUUUAUUUUUAAAUCAAAUUAAUAUAAAAGAAGAAAUAUAUUAUGCAAAACAUUAAAAGAAACAUUACAAUCCAAUAAUUCAUAUAACAUCUAAAUUCGACCUAAAAAAUUUGGAAAUGAUUGUUUGAAUAGAGAAUAUCAUAUUGUUUUGUUUAAUUAGAUAAGGAUUUUGAAUAGAGAAUAUUAGGUUAUUUAAUUAGAUAAGGAUUUUGAAUGUAAUUAACAAACAGUGAUAGAUUUGGUAGAUAAGAUAAAGUAGUUGAAGUAAAUCUCUUGAUUCUUAUCAAAUUAAGCAUUCAGUUACGAUUCUUGUGCUGAAAAAAAUACAUACAAAUUCAGCACCACUUAAUAAGUUCAGCAGGUGAAUUUUUAUUUAUCAAACACCCAAAACCUCUUAAUGUCUGAAUGAAUUUAGUUUCAGCACUUUUUUAUGUUGUCAAACAGACACUUAGAAUAGAGUUGUAUAGGAUAUUAACAAACUUGGUUUCAACAAAAUGUUAUAGGCAAAGUUUUAUCACCAAAUAUUUGGCUUCACAUUUUGCUAAAAUUCAUGUUCCAAAAGAGAAUAUCGAAUGAGAUAUAAACAAAAAAUGUGGUUUUAUUUGUGUUAAAAGACAUGGUUUUGCUUUUAAUACUUGGAAUAUUUACUGCAAAGUAAGAAAAAAUGUACUUAUUAAAGCAAAACAUUUAACCAAAUAACAAAAAUUGCCUUCGCGCAACUAAUAAUAUCUUCUAUGAUGAAUUACAAUUAUUUUAAAAGUACGUAAGAGUUUUGAUAUUUAAAAUCUUUGAGGAUGUUGUAUACCUAAUUUUGUAAAGUGUGAUUACCUUCAAACCAUGGAGGGUGGGAAGGAGGAAUAUGAUGAUCAACUCUAAGGAUAUCAAAGUCAUUUACUACUUUUUUUACAGCGUUAUUUUUGUUAACAUCUGAUUGGUCAACUGGAAGGGAGGGCAAAGAUGUAAUUUCGAAGUUGAGGGUCAUACAAUAUGGCUACCCCAUAUGUUUAGAGGGCCAAAGUGUGACUAACCCAAAUUAGAAAUGCUUGGCAUGGUACCUAAAGCUUGAGAGCCAAAACUGGCAAUUCUCCUCUCUAGAGUUUUAUUUCAAA
rnacentral:lncRNA from 1 species